AUAUAAUAUACAUGUGAAGCAGGGGCAAUAGGAACCAACAAUACCGAGCAAGUCCGUCUAUAAUCCUUGAAGCUGAUGGGCUUAAUGCAGGAAAGCGACCUCAAGUUAUGCAGGCCAUGCCAUUGUUCCUGCAAGGACGAUAAAUGUGAUGCAACGAAAUGCUGCUAUCUGGCAAAGUGUACCACGCAACGACCUCUCACUUGUGUGCUAGACUUGAUUCAGUGCGGCAGUUGUGAUAAUUGCAAGUGAUCACUGCAUGUACAUGAUGGAUUGGUGGAUGACAUCAUGACAAUAAAGAUUUCCGAAAAAACCUUUACCUUUUUUGAGUGGACAAACAGAUUUGACUUUCAGCAAUUGAGGGGGGUUAAAUUUUUAUGAGUAGUAGUUAGAUGUAUAUAAGCAAACCAUCAAAACGGUGUCGUCAAUAGUCAACACGCCCAACAAUUGACAAAAAAAAGUACUCCCGUGGCAUUAGGUACUCAAGUGCUUGUGUCUGCCAUUAGCUAGACAUAGCAAAAGAGCCCUGCGUUGCAAGAAAAAUAUCACAUUUAGCAUCGACAAUGCUUACUUCUUCUCAUCGUUUAUCAGGUCUCCCUUUUAUUUCUUGUUGUCAUUUAUUUCUUUUAUGACGCACAUCCCAUCUUUUGCCGGAUCUCUUCAGAUUUUUCUGCCAUGCGCCCUUUCUUUUAGGACACUGAUAUUUGCCGAAUGUCCCCCAUCAUUUCGUUGGGUAUGAGCGAUCCCUCCGCCCGAAUGAAAUCGUUCGGUACGAGCGAUCCCUCCGCCUAAACGGAUGGGGAUCCUCCUAGCCCGAACCCACAGUGCGACCAGUUUGCUCGGCUUUCUUCGGCUUGGCUACCUAGCCCAACCAAUAGCGUAUGAAUUUUACCAUGUAAAAAUGUUACAAUGAAUUAUUAUCUAAAACCCCUAUUUUUUGAUACAAAAAAAUAGAGAAACCAUACAAUACAGAAAAUCACCCAUUGAAUAAAUGGCAAAUGAAUGAAAACUUUGUAGGUCAAAGGCAAGUCUGUAGAAAACUACUUAUAUCAAGAAAAUAUGUACACAAAAAAUGGCAAUUUUUUUUGCAUAUAUGGCAAAUCACGAUUAUACUGUGAAAACUAGGAAAAGCUUAAGUUGCCGAUGAAAAGAAUAAAUUGCCAUGAUUAUGCAAAUAAAUUUGCCAUGGGUGCAUGAAAAACUAAAGUAGCCAUGGGUAUGAAAAUAAAAUUGCCAUCACUUUAAAAAUAAAUUUUCCAUGAUAGUAGGAAAAACAAAAUUUGUCAUUGUCCAUUAAGAAGCUAAAUUGCUGCGGAACUGAAAAUAAGUUGCCAUGGGUAUUAAAAUUAAAUUGCCAUGUCUUUGAAUAUAAAUAUGCCGUGGUCGAGCGAUUGAGUUUGCCAUGGCCUAAGAAAUUAAGCAAAUUCUCAUUGAUGGCAAUAUAGAAAUUUUUGUGACAUGGCAAUUUUUGAUUUAUUUUCUUUAGCCGAUGGAAAAUUCGGAAAAGAUAAAAACUACAUUGACAUGACAAUUAUUAAAAAAAAUCGUGUUAUGAACAUAGUUCAUUGAUAUCAUAAAUAAAUCUCUAAAUCAUUACAAACGAUCUAAAAACAAUUUAUAAAUCUUACAAUCUCUAAAUAUGUAAGGUGCCAUGGCAAACAAAAAAGAAAAAUUGCCAUGUGCCUCGUAUAUGAAUUUGCCAUGUGCUCAUGUUUGAAUUUGCCAUGCUACAAAACAAAAGCCUAAAGAAAGAAAAAUAUUAUGAAUGUGCCAUGUGACCAUAUGAGAAUUUGCCAUGUGAUUUUUUUAAUUUUCCAUGUUAUGAAGCCCAUAGGAAUAUUUACCAUAUCCAUGGCAAACAUGUAUACAAAUCUUAUGCAAAUAUCGAGGCAAUAAUUACCAGGUGUGAAAAACCUAGAAGGAGCGCACGAUUUGCCAUGGAAAAAAUCAUUGUUGGCUUAAUGUUGUGCCAUUACAAAAAAUAUUGAUUAAUAACUCUACUUGAAACUUUUUGAUAAAAGUGAUGGCAACUAUAUGUCUGCUAAAAAUUGUCAUGAUCCAUAAUGUGAAUUUUCCAUGUGCUCAUAUAUGAAUUUGCCAUGUGCUCAUGUAUGAAUUUGCCGUGCUACAAAACAAAAGCCUAAAGAAAGAAAAAUGUUAUGAAUGUGCCAUGCGACCAUAAGAGAAUUUUCCAUGUGAACAAAAAUUAAUUUGCCAUGUUAUGAAGCCUAUAGGAAUAUUUACCAUUAUCCAUGGCAAACAUGUAUAAAAAUCCUAUGCAAAAAUCGAGGCAAUAAUUAGCAUGUAUGAAAAAACCUAAAAGGAGCACACAAUUUGCCAUGGAAAAAGUUGGCGUUGGCUUGAUGUUGUGUCAUUACAGAAAAUAAUUGAUUAAUAAUUCUGCUUGAAACUUUUUGAUAAAAGUGAUGCCAACUAUAUGUUCGCUAAAAAUUGCCAUGCUCAAUAAAGUGAAUCUACCAUGUGCUCAUGAAUGAAUUUGCCGUGCUACGAAACAAAGGCCACAAGAAAGAAAAAUGUUAUGAAUGUGCCAUGUGACCAUAAGCCAAUUUGCCAUGUCAACAAGAAUUAAUUUGCCAUGUCAUGAACCCAAUAGGAAUAUUUACCAUUAUCAAUGGCAAACAUGUAUAAAAAUCCUAUUUGUCUCAAAAAAUGUAUCAAAUCCUAUGCAAAAUCAAGGCAAUAAUUGCCAUGUGUGAAAAACCUACAGUAGCGCACAAUUUAGCAUGCAAAAAUCGUCAUUGGCAAUGCAUAUUAAGAAAAUAUCAUGUUUUUUUAUCAAAUUUGCCAUGCUUUAUGAAGAAAAUUUGCCAAUAAUGUGAAACAAUACAAAAAAUGAGAAAACAUUGCCAUGGCAAAUGCAUGCUCAAUUUUGUCAUGGUGUUUUUUUUACCAAAAUCACCAUCGUGUGUGUAAUAUAAUUGUCGUAUAUGUGAAAAUAACACAAAAAAAUGAUCAAGAAAAUUGCCAUGGAAAAAUUCAUAAACAAAAUUGUUGUGUCUUUUUGUUAUCAAAAUUAGAAAUGAAAGAAAUUUUCCAAGAAUGUGAAGUAAUAGAAAAUGAUCAAAAAAUUGCCAUGGGAAAUGCAUGUUAUAUUUUGCCAUGGUAGUUUCACCAAAAUUGCCAUCUUUUGCAUAGCAAAAUUGUUGUGUAUGUGAAAUAACACAAACAAAACGAUCACACAAAUUGCCAUGGCAAAUGCAUAGUAAAAAUGACAUGGCACAUGAAGUAAUAAUGCCAUGGUCCAUAAAAAAUUAUAGAUUUGUCAUGUGCUAUGAACUAAAUUUGCCAUGAUAGUAACAUUGAAAUUGCCAUGGUGAACUAGAAAAUGAUGUCAAAAAUAGAACUAGCUAGCAAAAAGCAUAAUCCAUGAUUUGUAGUAUCGGGCAUGGUGAAUUGAAAAUGCCAUGGUGAAUUUUUGUUGGCAUGGGUAAAACAAUUUCAAUAUCACAUCGCAAAAAAGGAUCUCAAAGUAACCAUGGCAACUUUCUUUGAAUAUACAUGGCAAAGACACAUCAAAAAGUUGACAUCAUAGCAAACAUAUGCUUAGAAACAAAAAAAAAUAUGCUUUACUUGCUAUGAAAACACAUCAAAAGCCACAUAUGCUUUUAGUUGCCAUACAUUUGCUGAUGAAUUAACAACAAGGAUUGCACGGGAACAAAAUGACAAUCCCUGCUCUCGUGAUGGCCUCACCUACCACCCACCCUCUCGCCUCACCUACCGCGAGUAAUGGCGCCGCAAUCACCGCCAUUAAUGGCCGUGCGGGCUUAUCUAGCCCUCCUCUCCCCCUUGCCACAUCGUCUCCCUCCCCUGGCGACUACUCCUUAUCAGAUCUCACGGACCAGUUGAGCGAGAGAGAUGGUGGGGGGCUCGCGGAGGGGUGCAAGAGCGCGGCGGGCGCGUCCCAACCACCAGGCGGCGGCGCCGAUGGCCUCUCUGCCGCCGGUGCUGGUGUUGCAGUUGCCAGUGACCGAGCAGGGAUCGCCAGAGGCAUAUGUGGAGAUGGUUCGCGUGGUAGGGGAGCGAUUCCCGAACCAUGACAACUGGCUGGCGAUCCUCAUCGAGGUCAUCCAACACGCGACGUUCGAGGAGCGUGCGCGAUUCGCCGGCGACGAUGGGGGGAUGGAUUACGAGCUCAUCUUCUAGGCCAUCCAGGAGGCGGAUUUCACGGAUCCGAGGCAGGCGGCGAAGUGGGCAAGAUUCAGGACAAGGAAUCCGUCGCCGCUCAACAUUCGGCUGCCACCGGUGGUGUAGAUCGCCAACAUCCCGCCGGAGUACCUGCCGCCGGGGACUGUUCUGCCACGGGUCCCCUAAGACAUGGGGAGCCCGGCGUGCAUGCCCCGCAGGGCUUCUCCAACCUGUGGGUGCAGCAUGGGAGGAGCGAGGCGCACUUCCUCAAUCUUCCACCAUGGCCGGGCGACCGCGGGGAGAUCCCACAUCUCUGGGGUAAGGUGAGGAAAUUCAGACCCAAUUCACGUGCUCGUUUGAGAUCUGGUAGUGAUUUGGGCGUUGAAUUGAAUGUUAAGGAAGGUAUGGCUGUCCCUUGUGAGAGUAUAUGUGAAUCCACUCCUAUUUUCCCUGAAUCAGUUAGAGAUUCUUGUGAAUCUGUGAUUCCGGCGAGCCAGUCCACCGCCGACGAGCUCGCUUAUGCGGGAGGGGCGGGCUUGGUUUCAAAUCCGGUGGUCCCACAAGCAGGGCCGAAACCUCAACCACUGCCGUUGAUUUCGGGUCGUGUGGUUGGGAAGAAAACGGUCCAUAAAAAUACGCUUUCUACAUCUGCUAGCGGGGAUGGAGAGGAAGUGGCGGAUUUUUAUGGCCAACUUUUGGUGGUUCCCUCUCCCAACCGCCGCCAGCGCCUACAUAUAGAGAGGCAGUCGCCACCAAACCCUAAUUUCGCAAUCCCCAAAUUGUUUUGGGUUAGAAAGGAUCUGUUUAGGGAUAGAAAUUUCUCAGCACAAGAUUGUUUCCCGAUUCGGGCAGUGAGCAGAUUUGAUCUGACCCCUACUAUCUUUAAAAUUUCCACUGAGAAGCUAGGUUUCCCUAGAUCGUUUGUUGAAGUGAUUAAGGGAGGGAUGGAGCGAGGGCAGGGAGGGCAGCGACAACGCUGUCCGCCGUCGGGGAAGAAACCUGCGCCACCGGAGGGGAAAGCUGCGGCCCCGCCGGCCGGUGCUGCUACAAUGGCAGGUGAUGUCAAGCAGGGGCAACAACCUCCCAAGCAGGGGCAGCAACCUCCCAAGUAGGCGACGCGGGGGGUCCAGCAGCAGCAAGUGGUCGAGGCAACAGUCCAAGCUCCACCUCCUCCUCCUGUUGCUACAGUUCAAGCGUUGGAUCCAAGGUACAAGGACAUGACCUGCUUUAACUGUAGUUGGCUGAGGCACUAUGUGGGGAACUGCAUUGAACCGAAGAAAUGCUUUAUUUGCGCAGGAGGUCAUAACGUCAAUAACUGCGCUGCCUGGGUGAAACCACAUCCUACAGCGACAUACUUUGGCAGCGUAGCAGCUGGCCUGGGGUUUUAUCACAUUGAUGUUCCUACCGCGUCAGAACUAAGCUGGCUUAAUUACAAGAACUGUGCAGUUCUCAAAGUUGUUAAGGGUGAGGUUUCUGCCUCGGAGUUGCUGAUUCAGCUUAAUGGGAUUUUUUGUAAAAACAAAGAAUGGCCUUGGCAGAUUAGGGAUUUGCGAGAGAAGAAAUUAUUGCUGAGAUUUCCACCUUGGAAGAAUGUGGAAGACCUGAUUGAGUUUCCUGCUUUUGAGCUCCCAAUUGAUGGUGUUUCUAUCAAGAUCUGUGAAUGGGUGGGAAUGUUGGAUGAAUUUGGAGGACUUACUGAGGCAUGGGUUCAAAUUGAAGGGAUUCCUCCAAAGUGGUGUGCCUGGAAGGUUUUUUCCCAGAUUACAGCCUGCUUUGGGAUCCUGGUAGAUGUGGACUGGAAUGGUAUAUUUAAGAGUUUCUAUGAGAAUAUCAGAGUGAAAGUGGCUUGUAGAGAUCCCAGGAAAAUUCCUUUUGAGAUGUUAGUGGAAAUGAAAAGGAAGCUAUACAUUCUGUUCUUCACUGUUGAGGGUUUUGAGCACUUGGGGGAGGACUCUGAUGGAGAUGAUCUAGAUCCAAAUGUGGACAAUAUGGAGAAAGAGGAGGAAGAUAACAAUGAAGACAUGUCUGACAAAGAUAAAACACAAGAAGAAGAUAUGGGGGACCUAUUGAUGAACUGGAUAAGGCUAAUUUCCCUUCCAAGAACACUCUGGCUGCAAGCUCUAGUCAGUCAAACCCACAGAGAGCUGCUUCUGCUGUUGAAUUUCACCCUCCCAACAUGCUGGACACAAUUCAUGAGGAUUUUGUGGAUGAAAUUAGGAGCAAAAUGCCAGAGAAGAAGAAAUAGGCAGAUAAUGAAAAAUCCACUCCUGUAAAGACCUUUCCUUCUAGAAGAUCUGAUUCCUUGUCAGUACAUAUGGAAUAUUGCUCUGCACAAUUAAGCAAAUUUGAAAUGGUUGAGACUGAUGAGGAGGAGGAAGAAUUGGUGGAUGAAAUGCAAUGUUUACCUGAUGAUUUGGCUUUGGCAAUGGGAUCUGUCAAAAGAUCUCUGCUGGAAACUCUGGAAAGUGUGGAAUCGGUAUAGAAGAAAAAACCAAGCGUCAAAAAUUCUCCUACUUGGGGACCAGUUCUUGGUAAAUCAUUUGCUAUCCUUGACCCUGAUGUUCUUAUCUCUAACACUAGUAAAGUUGAUUUAUGCGUUGGGAGUAGCAUUGAAGAACACGUAGCUAUUGUCAUGGAUAUGAUAGAUGAGGAGAAAAAUCGUUGCCUUAAGUUUGCUGAUGAUAACUCGGAGAUUGUUCUCCCUGAGAACCUUGACUUAGAAACAGGGGUUGAUGAGAUCGAAGCUAUUAACAGUGACCUUCACAUUAAUGGUUCGGAUGGCAUUGCUGGACCGUUAAUGGAAAGUCCUAUCUUGAACACAAAAAAGAAGCCUUGUGGCUUGUCGCACCCAUUUAAGAUUAAAUGAUAGUGCCCUUUUGGAAUAUUCGGGGUAUGGGACAAACUGGGAAAACUCUGUGCCUAGGUGACUUUAUUAAUAAUAAUCGUCUGGACUUUGUGUGUUUCUUUGAAACGAAGAAAGAAAAUAUUGAUAAGUGUGUGCUUAGAUUUAUAUCUGGUAAGGAGGAAUUCGUAUGACAUUUUUUACCGGCUGUGAAUACUACUGGGGGAUCCUUGUGGGUCUUAGGAGUGAUUUGUUUGAGGUGAUAGGAUUUAUUAAUAAAGAGUUUUGUAUUGUGGCUACUGUUAAAAAUAAAUGUGAUGGUUUUAUUUGGCAUGUAGUGGCUAUUUAUGGCACUUCUUACAAUGAUAGGAAGUUAGAGUUUAUUGCUGAGCUACAUAACACUAUGGAUACCCUCACUUAUCCAGUUUUGAUGGGAGGGGAUUUCAACUUGGUCAGAUCGGCUGAUGAUAAAAAUAAUGGGAUUAUUAAUAACCAGUUUUCCUACCUGUUUAAUGAUUGGAUCAAUAAAUGGUCCCUUAUGGAGAUCAAGAGCGCUAAUAGGAAAUUUACUUGGAGUAACAACCAGAAUAAUCCUAUCUUCGCCACUAUAGACAUGAUUUUUCUUUGGGUUCUUGGGAUACCAAAUUUCCUCAAUCUGUGGUGACAGCUCUCCCACGUAUUGGGAGUGAUCAUACCCAUCUCCUUAUUGACACUGGUGCUCGGCGGGUUACCACCCCCAAAAUAUUUUGGUUUGAAAAGUGGUGGCUUGACCAACCUGAUUUCAAAGAUUUAUUGUGCAAUAUCUGGAAUACCCCAGUUCCUGGCAAGACGGCCAUGGAUAUCUGGAUGAAUAAAAGUAGAUUAUUUAGGAAAAAGGUUAAAGGUUGGAGCAUUAACAUAGAGGCAGGUAUUAAGAAGAGGAAGAGAGAGCUUCUGCCCGAAUUUGAUAUUCUCGAUGUUUUUUCGGAGAGGAAUCAAAUCAAUGACAUGGAUAGGCAUAGGAUGGAGGAGAUUAAAAAGGAACUUAAUAGCAUUUGGAAUAAGGAAGAAACUACUUUCUGGCAGCGCUUUAGAGAUCGUAAGAUUGUUGAUGGUGACAAAAACAAUGCUUAUUUUCAAACGCUAGCUAACCACAGGCAUAGGAAGAACCACCUAUCUGAGCUAAAUGGGGACAAUGGCCCUGUCUACAGUACCAAGGAGAUGCUGGAAGUAGCUACUACCUUUUAUAAAAACCUCUUUGGAGCUGGGGAAAAAAACCUCAUAUUCAUCUUGGGCCUUCCUUUUGGGAGGAGGGUGAUCUGGUUACCGAAGAAGAGAACGAUCAUCUUCAAAGUAACUUCUCUGAGGAGGAGAUCAAGGAAGCCAUCUUUGGGUCAUAUGCACAUGGUGCACCUGGACCAGAUGGAUUGUCAUUUCUUUUUUAUCAAACUUUUUGGGAUGUUAUCAAAGCUGAUUUUAUGGCACUGGUGAGAGAUUUUGAAGAAGGCAAGCUAGAUUUGCAGAGGUUGAAUUUUGCUUUGAUAGUCCUUAUUCCUAAAGAACCUGACGCCAAGGAUUUAAAGAAAUUUAGGCCAAUCAAUUUGAGCAACUGUGGUAUUAAAAUCUUUUCUAAAGCCAUGACCAAUAGGGUUUCCCCUAUUGGUCGCAGAUUAAUCUCUUCGAACCAAACAGCGUUUAUUAAAGGGAGAUAUAUAUUAGAGAGUGUUGUCACGGCUCAUGAAGUGAUUCAUGAGGUCAAGAAAUCUGGUUCUCAAGGUCUAGUGCUUAAACUAGAUUAUGAGAAAGAAUAUGACCGGGUUAACUGGGAUUUCUUGUUUGAGAUGUUACAAUCUAGGUUUUUUUUGCCCCAAGUGGAUUGCUUGGAUUAAAAGUACCUUAAUUAACAGUACUUUUGCUGUGAGAAUUAAUGAUACUAAUGGAAACUAUUUUGUUGGUGGGAAAGGGCUUAAACAAGGGGAUCCCCACUCCCCCUUGUUGUUUAACUUGGUAGCUGAUGUGUUUACAAAAAUGCUUUAAAAAGCAGCCUCCCAAGACCUAAUUUCUGGGCUUCUGCCCAAUAUAAUUCCAGGGGGGUGGUGAGUCUGCAAUACGCAGACGGCACUAUCCUUUUUCUGGAGAAUUCGGCUCAUAAAGCCAGGAACUUUAAGUGGUUUUUAUCAUGUUUUGAAUCACUUUCAGGGAUGAAAAUUAAAUUUCAUAAAAGUGACUUAAUGACCAUCAAUAUUGAUGAGGAAGUGGCUAAUGACUUUGCCCAGAUUUUCUGUUGCAAAAAAGGGCGCUUUCCUAUUAAAUAUUUAGGCGUUCCUUUACAUUAUGACAAGUUGAAAAGGGAGCAUCUCCAACCCAUUAUAGAUAGUAUUAUUAAGGGCAUUUCUGGAUGGCUUGGGAGAUAUCUCACAUAUAGAGGCAAAAUUAUCUUGCUAUGUGCAUGCUUCAUUAGCAUACCUGCCUAUCUCAUGUCUGUCAUUAAGUUUCCCAAAUGGGCUAUCAAUGCCAUUAACUCCCAAAUGGCUCACUUCUUUUGGGGUAAUAUUGGGGACCAACACAAAUACCAUCUAGCUAAAUGUGGUUUUGUUACUAGGAAGAAAGAAUAUGGAGGGUUGGGGAUUCCUAACAUCAAAGAAUUUAACAUGGCCUUAUUGGCUUCCUGGGGCAAAAGGUUCUUUGAUGAAUCUGAUGCAGACUAGAAGAAAAUCAUCCGUUACAAGUAUAGAGUGAAUACUCCCAACCUACUUUGGGCAAAAGGAGAUGGUGGCUCUACCUUUUGGAAGAGCAUCACUUGGGCGUUAGCUGCUGCUAAAAAUUUCUACAGAUGGAGAUUGGGCAAUGGUGAAUUAAUUAGCUUCUGGCAUGAUACCUGGGUUGGGGAAUGUUCCCUGAAGGUGCAAUUCCGGGAAUUAUAUUGUAUCUGCAACCAAACGGAAUGCACUGUAGCUCAGGUGUGGGACGGAUAGGAACUUAAGUUAUCUUUUAGGAGAUGCAUAGACCAAAGUGGGCUUGACAGAUGGGAUUUGCUGCAGAGACUUGUUCAACAGUGUAUCUUAUCAGAUGAACCUGAUAUCCCGAAUUGGUCCUUGGAACCUAAUGGGUUAUACUCUGUGAAAUCAUUUUAUAAAAGCAUCAACUUUGGGGGGAUAGCUUCUGCUAUCAAAGAUGAUCUUUGGAAAAUUAUAUGCCCUCAGAAGAUACAUGUAUUCUUGUGGUUGUGUGCUCAUAAUAAAAUUCUAACUAGGGAUAAUCUUUCUAAAAGAAGGGAGGUGGAGGACCUUUGCUAUCUUUUUUGUGCAGAGCUCGACUCUGUACAGCAUUUGAUGUUUGACUAUGUAGUUGCUCGGCAUGUGUGGGUAUUUGUAUCCGACUUCUUUGAGAUUGAUAGAAUUGCUAAUUUUGACGACAUCUUUGCUUUCUGUCGAGUACAUAAAAAAAAGCCUGUGCUUAACAUGGUUAUUGCUGCUUCCUUGUGGAGCUUGUGGAGACUAAGAAACAGUUUCUGUUUUCAGGGUCAGAAAUGGAGAAACAUGAACUGCAUUCUUGCAAGAUUAAGCUGUUAUUUGCACUAGUGGAAGGUUCUCUGCGAUGAUGCUCAAGCAACCCUGUUGCAAAGGUGUAUCCUUCUGUUGGACAAGAGGCGUGGAGAACUAAUGCGGAUAGCCUAGAAGUGAGGUGUGGGAGGGGAGCAUGAAAGGCGCGCGUUUCGAGUGGAAGAAAUCUUAUUUGUUCCUUCUCCUUCUGAUUUGGUUAUGUAAUAAGUAAUACCUAGUUUUCUUUUCCUAUUCUGUUGGAGAGAACUUCUGCUCUCGAGCUCUAGGCAGCGUAGUCUCCUAGAAUGUUGCUUUAUUCUCUGUUUAGGCGCAUAUUGGAACUGGUUGUGACUGCUUUAUCUGCUUCAAUCUAUAAAGUUGGGGCAGGGGGGCAACCCCUUUCAUUCACAAAAAAUUAACAACAAGGAUUACAGUGAGAGGGCAAUCACAAAAAUCCGUUAUCCUCUCAUAGGACAUUACAUGGCAUUUUUAGGAAGACUGAACUGGAAAAAUUGAACAAAGUGUGGUAUGCAGACAUAUGAAGCAGAAAAGGAGUGUUAUCAUACAGAUUCAUUGUUGGAUUGGCAACAAACUAGUGGAUAAAAAAGACAAUAUGGGGUUCAUGGUGCAAGAAAUUAGCAUAGAAUCAAUGUGAAAAAGGGGGGAAUAGGUGCAACCUGCAGGGGAGGGAGUCAACGCCCACAACGGCUUUGUGUAGUAUGUGUCGUGCUGGGCGAGCUCGAACCCAGGAUUCGGUCCUUCGACCUCCUCCGACACGGUGGGGAAGGGUGGGGUUGAGAGCUGGGAGAUGAUGGCAAAUCCUCUCAAGGACGCGUCCUUGCUGACCUGGUCGUCAUGGUCUACUUUCACCUAUGGCGUGACGGCCUGGUGCUCGUGGCGGUGGCGAGGUAUGAUACAUCUCCAACGUAUCUAUAAUUUUUUAUUGUUCCAUGCUAUUAUUCAAUCUUCAAUAUUUUAUAUGACAUUGUAUAUCAUUUUUUGGGACUAACAUAUUAGCUUAGUGCCAAGUGCCAGUUGUUAUUUUUUGUUUGUUUUUUGUUUUCCAGGAUAUGAGAACUAAAUGAAGUCCAAAUGCCACGAAACUAUUUAACAAUUUUUUUCUGGACUAAGAGACACUAGAAGAUUUGGGGGGAGGUCAGAAGACGAAGGAGUGGCCCACAAGCCACCAGGGUGCGCCUAGGGGGGUAGGUGCGUCCUGGUGCCCCAUGGGCCCCCUUUGCUCCGUUGAUCUAAUUUCACCUCUAUAAAUUCUCUAAAAUCGGGAAACCACUAAGGAGCCACCCAAAACACUUUUUCCACCACCGCAAGUCUUUGUCCUCACGAGAUCCCAUCUGGAGGCCUUUUUCGGCACUCUACCGGAGGGGAAAUCAAUCACGGAGGGCUUCUACAUCAAUUUUACUUCCUCUCCAAUGAUGUGUGGGUAGUUUACCAUAGACCUACGGGUCCAUAGCUAGUAGAUAGAUGGCUUCUUCUCUCUCUUUGAUCUUUAAUAUAAUGUUCUCCUUGAUGUUCUUAGAGAACUAUUCGAUGUAAUCUUUUUGCGAUGUGUUUGUUGGGAUCCAAUGAAUUGUGAAUUUAUGAUUAGAUUAUCUGUGAAUAUUAUUUUAGUCUUCUCUGAAAUUCUUUUAUGCAUGAUUGUUAUAGCUCUGUAUUUCUCUAUGAUUUAUUGAUUUGGUUUGGCUAACUAGAUUGAUUUAUCUUGCAAUGGGCGAGGUGCUUUCUAAUGGGAUCAAUCUUAUUGUGAUCUAUAUCCCAGUGAUUGCUUGUAUCUGCGUUGGUAAUUCUCCGAAGAGGAGAGGAUGAUGCAGCAUAGCAACGGUAAGUAUUUCCCUCAGUUAUGAAACCAAGGUUAUCAAUCCAGUAGGAGAACCAAGCAACACUAUGUAAACUUCAUCUGCACACAAAUACCAAAUACUUGCAACCCAAUGCGUAAGAGGGGUUGUCAAUCCCUCGGUAUUGACAUAGAUUAAACUGUAUGAGAUUCGAUAAAUAGAUCUAGCAAAAACACAAAAUAAAAUAAAUAAAUAAAAAGUGCAGCAAGGUAUUUUUUGGUUUUUGGAAUAAUAGAUCUGAAAAUAAUAUCAUAGGAAAUAGACCCGGGGCCCGUAGAUUUCACUAGUGUCUUCUCUCGAGAAAAUAGCAUACGGUGGUUAAACAAAUUACUGUUGGGCAGUUGAUAGAAGAGCAAAUAAUUAUGACGGUAUCCAAUGCAAUGAUCAUGUAUAUAGGCAUCACGUCCAAGAUUAGUAUACCGGAACGAUUCUGCAUCUACUACUAUUACGCCAUACAUUGAUCGCUAUCCAGCAUGCAUCUAAUGUAUUGAGUUCAUGGAGAAACGGAGUAAUGCAAUAAGAACGAUGACAUGAUGUAGACAAGGUCUAUUCAUGUCAGAAUAGACCCCACCUUUUUAUCCUUAAUGGCAACGAUACAUGCGUGUCACUUCUCCUUCUAUCACUGAGAGUGAGCACCGCAAGAUCGAACCCAUCACAAAGCACCUCUUCCCAUGGCAAGAAAAAUCAAUCUAGUUGGCCAAACCAAACCAAAGUUUCGGAGAAGAAACAUGAGGCUAUAAUAAUCAUGCAUAUAAGAGAUCAAAGAAUACUAAAAUAAUAUUCAUAGAUAGAUCUGAUCAUAAACUUACAAUUCAUCGGAUCCCAACAAACACACCGCAAAAAGUCAUUACAUCAAAUAGGUCUCCAAGAACAUCGAGAAGAACAUUGUAUUGAGAAUCAAAAAGAGAGAAGAAGCCAUCUGGCUACUGCAUACGGACCCAUAGGUCUGUGGUAAAAUAAUCACACAUCAUUAGAGGAGAAACCCCUCUAUGAUCGUGUUCCCCUCCGGCAGAGUGCCGAAACAGGGCUCUAGAUUGGAUCUCAUGGUUCUGGAACUUGCGACGGCUGGAAUUGUUUUUCGUCAACUCACCUAGGGUUUCUGGAAUAGGUAUUUAUAGAGCUGAGAGGCAGUGGAAAGGACCCCCAUGGGCCCCACUAUUGGGAAACAUUGUAUGGAAAACAAAAAAAAUCUACACACACGCAAGAUCUAUCCAUGGAGAUGCAUAGCAACGAGAGGGGAGAGUUGUCUAUGUAUCUUCGUAGACCGUAAGAGGAAGCGUUUGUUAACGCGGUUGAUGUAGUCAAAUUUCUUCGUGCUCCAAUCGAUCGAGUACCGAACGUACGACACUUCCACGUACAACACACGUUCAGCCCGAUGACAUCCUCGCCUUCUUGAUCGAGCAAGACGGAGAAGUAGUGGAUGAGUUCCAGCAGCACGACGGCGUGGUGACGGUGAUGAUGAAGUUAUCUUCGUAGGGCUUUGCCUAAGCACUACGAAAAUAUGACAAAGUGUGUAAACGGUGGAGGGGGCACCGCACACGGCUAAGCAAUUAACCGAGGGUGUAAACGGUGGUCAGGAACGUGAAGCACUAGCGAAGGGUGGCCAUGUCAUGAAGCUGACGAAGAAUAGAAUCCAGAGAAGUGAACAGCCAAAGCGUGAAGUCUUUGGUGAAGAAGAAGAAAAUGAUAGACAUGCUAUAAAGUUGAUGGAGGAGAGUCGAAUCCAGGGAAGUGAACAGCCAAAGCCUUCAAAGCCUACUAUGAAAGAUUGUAUCGAUGAACGGAGGCAAGUGCCUCACCAAUAUGUGCUAGCUAGCAAGGAGAAGUCCCCAUUUAAUGAGCAGAAGCGACCAGCGUUCAACGAGGUGAGUGACUUGACCUUUUAAUUUCUCCUUGUUUGUUUCUGCUUCCAUUUGCUAUUGGGGUGUGCCAAUAUUUAAGUUGUGGCUCAUCGCAAUUUCUCGGUUCAGUAAUAUUUUCAGUGACCAACAUGGAAAAUACUUUUCUCUUGGUCGUAAUGAAACCAACACACAAUCCUGGUAGCCACUUUGAAUGUAACGUGUUAAUUAACAUGUAUGUGUUAUAUAGGAAAUGUGGAACAGAAAUGAUACCAAAUAGCUUAUUGAUCUUGUUUCAAUAAAAAUGUCAGUUUACUAAUGGAAGUGUUGAGUUACUUUAGUUAGGCAAAGUCUUUGGAUAUGCAACUAGUUUAGUUAGGCAAGCUCUUCAGAUAUGCAAACUUUUAGUUAUGCAAGUUCUUCAGAGAUGCAACUACUUUUCUUUUUGAAACUAGGAAAAAUAAAGAUUAUGUUGAGAGUUUGCGGUAUCGAUUGGGUAUGAAAAAUGUCUUUACAGUUUCGGGUAAAGGCAAAGGUGGCGGCUUAGCGGUUUUUUGGGAUGAGUGCUUCUCUGUGGAGUUAAACAAAUUUGGCGAUCAUUUUAUUGACUUAUAUAUUUGCAAGAGUGGUGGACCAGAAUGGAGGUGCACUUUGGUUUAUGGCGAACCGAAGGCGAUUCAAAGGUACGUAAUGUGGGAGCUUUUGAUACGGAUUAAAUCUCUUGGUUCUGGUCCUUGGUUUAUGGUCAGAUAUUUUAAUGAAGCUAUGUGGAAAUAUGAGCAUUUCUCUCGUAAUACAAGAUCACAUAAACUCAUGGCAAACUUCUGGGAGGUUCUCUUGGAGUGCAACCUAUUUGAUCUGGGGUUUUAUGGUGUGCCUUGGACGUAUGAUAAUAAGCAAGAUGGAAAUCGAAAUGUAAAGGUGCGGCUGGAUCGUGCGGUCGCAUGUCCACAAUGGACUUCUAUGUUCCCUCAUUGUAAGGUGUCACACAUUAUUUCUUCCAGGUCAGAUCAUUGCCCUUUGUAUAUUCAGUUGAUGGGUAAUCAGCCUAACGUCGCUUCUAAAAAGCAUUUGAGAUAUGAAGCUUUUUGGGAGAGGGAAAGUCUGGCUUUGGACGAACAGGUUAAAGCGUGCUGGAAUAAAAGUUUGCAAGUGAGGGAUUUGAAGGAUGUGGCGACUAAUCUGGGUAAUCUAAUGAAAUCAUUGCAUUCCUGGAGUCAGGAUCAUAUUGGUUAUCUCCCCAAAAAAUUGGAAGCUGCUCGCAAAAGAUUAAAUGCUCUUUUUAAAAGGAGCGAUAAGGCGGCCGUGAUGGAGAGAAAGGAAAUUCUCCUGGAGAUGGAUGAGCUACUUAUAAAGGAAGAAGUUAUGUGGAAACAAAGGUCAUGUAUUGAGAAAAUGAUUUUGGGGGACCAUAGUACAAAAUUUUAUCAGAGAAAGGCCUCGUGGAGGGUGAAAAAAUAAUAAUAUUUCUGCUAUUAAGAGAAGUGAUGGGUCUCUUACGGAGAACAUGGAUGAAAUUACAGGUAUCACUAACUCUUUUUUCGAGCAGCUUUAUACGUGUGACACUAAUGUUGACCCCUCUCGUAUUAUUUUGAUUGUGAAACCUCUCUUCAAUGAUGAUAUGAACGCGGAGCUUUGUAAACCUUUUUCUAAGGAAGAGAUUAGUGAUGCUCUUUUCCAGAUUGGGCCUCUAAAAGCACCAGGUCCAGAUGGGUUUCCGGCUUGAUUCUUUCAGAGAAACUGGGGUUUAAUCAAGGAGGACAUUGUUAAGGCGGUUCAACAGUUUUUUAUCUUGGGUGUUAUGCCCGAAGGCGUAAAUGACACCAUCAUUGUCCUUAUACCCAAGGUGAAGAACCCGCAAUCCAUCAAAGAUUUUAGACUUAUCAGCCUGUGUAAUGUCAUCUACAAAAUUAUUUCAAAGUGCAUGGUGAAUAGAUUGAGACCUCUUUUGGAUGGUAUGAUUUCUCCCACUCAGAGUGCUUUCAUUGCAGGAAGGUUAAUUUCUGAUAAUGCACUUAUGGCCAUCGAAUGUAUGCACUCGUGGAGUAUGUUAAAAGAUCAGCGUGGAGAGUUUUGUGCAUAUAAGUUGGACUUGGCAAAAGCAUAUGAUCGAGUGGAUUGGCAAUUUUUAAAGAGCAUGUUGGGGGCUUUUGGUUUUGCGCCAAUUUGGAUUAAUUGGAUUAUGACGUGUGUUACAUCAGUGGGAUUCUUAGUUCAGUUUAAUGGCCAGUUGUUGCAUCCUUUUUAUCCAUCUUGUGGUCUCAGGCAAGGGGAUCCCUUAUCCCCGUAUUUGCUCUUCUUUGUGGUCGAGGCCCUCUCUUUGCUGUUAAAAGAUGCAUGUGAAAAAGGUGCUCUAAAAGAGUUUCAUGUGAACAGACAAGCUCCAGGUAUUUCUCAUCUAUUGUUUGUGGAUGACAACCUCCUUUUCUUCAGGGUAUCCAUUGAUCAAGCCUUAAUCAUUAAAAAUAUCCUAUCGACCUAUGAGGGGGGAACUGGUCAGCUUCUGAGCCCUGAUAAGUGUUCGAUUAAAUUUGGCAAAAAGUGUAGUAUGGAAGAUCAGGUGGCCACAAUGGUCAUUCUUAAUAUUACUGCAGAAGGUUUUGAGGAUAAGUACCUUGGUUUAUCGGUACCUGGGGGUAGAAUGAAGGUUGGUAAGUUCCAUUCGACCAAAGAUAAUGCUCUAAAAAGAUCAUCAGAUUGGAUUGAAAAUAAUGCUUCAAGUGGUAUUAAGGAAAAUCAAAUCAAGGCGGUGUUGCAAGCGCUCCCAGUGUACGCCAUGGGCAUCUUCAAACUUCCAGCUUCUUUAUGUGAUGAGUUGGCUCAUAUUAUAAGGAAUUUCUAGUGGGGAGACGAAGAAGAUAGGAGGAAAAUUCAUUGGUUAGCUUGGGAUAAACUCACUAAGCCAAAAAGACAUGGAGGCAUGGGUUUCCGAGAUCUUAGGUUAUUUAAUCAAGCUCUCUUGGCCAAACAGGCGUGGCGGCUAUUGGUUUACCCAAAUUCUUUGUGUGCUAAGGUUUUGAAGGCAAAAUAUUACCCCAAUGGCCACAUUCUGGAUACUGUGUUCCCGCAAGCUACAUGAGUGAAUUGGCAAGGUAUUAUGCAUGGCUUGGAACUAUUAAAAAUUGGGUCAUAUGGAGAGUGGUUGAUGGUAAAAAUGUAAAUAUUUGGAGAGAUAACUGGCUACCUAGAAACUCCAGCCUUAGGGUUACAGCAAAGAAAAAUCGCACUAGACUGAAAUGGGUGUCUGAAUUAUUCAUGAGCGAAACAACAACAUGGGAUGAAAAUUUAAUCAGGUAUUUGUUCUAUCACCAUGAUGCGGAGGAGAUUCUAAAUGUACGUAUUCAGUCUGGAGGAGAGGGAGAUCAAGUUGCUUGGCAUUAUGAGAAAAAUGGUAUGUUUUCUGUUAAAAGUGCGUAUAGACUGGCCUUAAAUCUUAAGGACAGUAAGGGUGAAACUGGAACGUCCAACACUAAUGUUAAUGAGGAGAGAAGGAUGUGGGACGUUAUUUGGAAGGCCAAAGUCCCACAAAAAAUAAGAAUUUUUGCACGGCGAGCCGCGUCCAAUAGUUUGGCGACCCAAGUAAAUAGAGUUGCUCAUCACCAAACAGUGUCAGAUAUGUGUACUAUUUGUGGUGUGGAGGAAGAAAGUAUCUUUCAUGCCCUGGUGACUUGUCCUGAGGCGUGUGCUUUCCGUUUUGCCAUGAGAGAUGUGUGGAAUAUUCCUGGAGAGGAGUUCUUCAGAUAUACGGGGCCGAACUAGUUUCUUAUUCUGCUUGACCAAUUGAGGUCACCGGUUCGCGAGCAAGUUUUAUUCAUAUUUUGGAGAGCUUGGCACCUGAGGAAUGAUCUGAUCUUUGGAAGGGGGAAAGAGUCUUUAUCUGCUUCUGCUAUAUUUGUGGAAAAUUACUGGAAAUCUUUUACGGCGACAAAUGCGUGUGUGCAAGUUGACAUGAGUAAUAAAGGUAAGGGGUGGUUGACAAGUGGAGGUAUGCUACUCCACCCGCAAUUGGUCACCGAGUUUGGGAGCCCCCGCAUCCUGAGUAUAUUAAGAUUAAUGUUGAUGCAAGUUUUGUGGAGAGCAUGAGAUCUGCUAGUGUUGGAGUUGUUGUCAGGAAUGACCUGGGCGAAGUAUUGAUCUCAACAUGGGAUUUUAUCCGCUCAUGUACUUGUGUGGAUGAAGCGGAACUUCGUGCGGCCCUUGCCGGGUUAUACAUAGGUAUUACACUUCACAAACCAAUUAUCCUGGAAACUGAUUACGCUUUUGUUGUUUCUUGUCUGGCUAGAGAUUCCAUUGACAGGUCUCCGUUGGCGGACCUGAAAAUGGAGGCAUUGAGCGUAUCAAAACUCAUAAAGGAUUUUAAGAUCACGAAGAUUGAUAGGCGGGCAAAUAAGGUGGCGCGCGAGAUUGCAAAAUUUAGUUUUUACAGUAGAUCCGAGGGCCUUUUAUGUAAUAGUGUUCCGCCAUGUGUAACUGCUUUUGUAAUGAACAAUUGUGAGAACCUUAAUUUACCAAAGUAAUAUAUGGAGGUUUUCAAAAAAAAAGGUUAGGCAAGUUCGUCCAAUAUGCAACUUAAUAUAUAUUAUUACAUCUUAUCGUCAAAACUAAUUAUAGAACUGGAUUGUAGUAGUAGUAGUAGUAGUAGUAGUAGUAGUAGUAGUAGUAGUAGUAGUAGUAUAUCUUUACUCCUAAUGGAGCAGUUGGUAGUCUCGCUUCCAGGUUUUUUUUCGUCCCACCACUUUCGUCCGGUUUUUUUCGUAGGUUAACCGUCGUAGAUUUUUUUCGAUGUUGGUUUCUUAUUCACCGGUUUAUAUAUCCCUCAGCUCUUUCCUUGCAAAUCAGCACUUUCCAAACGUGCACGCAAUCACAGAUGUAAAUUUACUAACUUAUCCAAAUCAACUGAUACCUUCCAUUAUUGCAAAUUUCUUUAGGAAACAAAUAAUAGAUUUUAAGGAAACAAAUAAAAGAUUUUAAAGAUGCAUCAUACUUUACUAACAAUCACUAAAAAUCAAAUCUAAAUUAAUUAACCUUACCUUAAAUCACUCAAUCACUUUAAUUAGAAAACAUUUUCUUUCCUAACUGCAGUUGGUAGUUUUGCUUCCAGGUUUUUUUUCGUCCCACCAGUUUCGUCCGAUUUUUUUCGUAGGUUAACCGUCGUAGAUUUUUUUCGAUGUUGGUUUCUUAUUCACCGGUUUAUUUACCCCUCAGCUCUUUCCUUGCAAAUCAGCACUUUCCAAACAUGCACGCAAUCACGGUUCUAAAUUUACUAACUUAUCCAAAUCAACCGAUACCUUCCAUUAUUGCAAAUUUCUUUAGGAAACAAAUAAUAGAUUUUAAGGAAACAAAUAAAAGAUUUUAAAGACGCAUCAUACUUUACUAACAAUCACUAAAAAUCAAAUCUAAAUUAAUUAACCUUACCUUAAAUCACUCAAUCACUUUAAUUAGAAAACAUUUUAUUUCCUAACUGCACUCUGCUUAGUGUGCACAUAACAAUCCGAAGUAAUUAGAGUCACAUGAUUGAAUCCAUUUAUUUAUAGCGACAUGAUUGAAUUCAUUUAUUAACAAUAAUCCUCACCAAAAGUGCGUUUAGCAAUUUUAGAGGGCGGACCAAAACUCUGCCAUCCGCUCGCCCGCGUUUGUUUAGGUACAGGAAAAAAUGGCAUAAUAUAUGGAAACAACACGACCGGGGCGGCGGCGCAAUCUUCGGGGAUAGGGGAUCGGAGGAGAAGGAUUGGCCUGGCAGAAUGAUCGGGGUGCUUCCCCGCGGCCGCGGCCAUCCUCGCGUUGCCACCAACCGAAAUCAACGUUGCUCCCUGCCGUCAGCCGAGGCGACGCCGCCUGCCCUCCUACCCACGGUCCGCUGCCGCGUGCAGCUACGGCGGGAGGAGUAGCGACGGGGCCGAGGUCCUUCAUGCGUUCCGGGAUGGAGGCCAUGAUAUCGUCCAGGUCGUUGCUGCCUCCUACACUCAGCGUGUGUCGCCGAGAUCGAGGCGAGCAUGAGGAGCUGUGGCCACCGCCAUGGUCACCCCAUCGCAGGGGAUGGAGCACGCCGUCGGCCUACAGCUUGUGGAGAUCACUGUUGCUCUUCAGGUCGCGUGGUGAUCGGAUCUUGCCGAUGUGUCCCUCCCCAACGACCUCCUCUUCGCCCGGUUGGCCGACAUGGAUCUCGCCACUGCUGCCCUCAACUUCUCUGCCUCGAGCUCGACGGUCAGCCCCCAUGGAUCCCCCAGCUGGAGGGUCACGUGAACCAGCCGUCCUCCCAUGCUGCAGCGGCGAGAAGGUGACAUGGCUCUCCGUACACGAAGAGUGGAGUUUAGUCAAGUACUUAUAUACUUGGCCUCUACUGCUGAUCCAUGUACAUGGAGAAGAACAGACAACCGCUCAUUCAUGCUUCGUUCCACUCCUUUGUGCUACAUUACUGGAGGUGACAUUUUCCUAUCUCUCUAUAUUGUAACAAGCCUGCUGCCUGCGUAGUUAAUGGAUUUUUUAUUUAAAUUUAUCGCUGCUUAGUGCUUUGUUGCAAUUGUUCACCCAAGAUUCUUAUAUAUAAUCUGAGCGUAUGUAGGCAUACUUAGCUUUGCUAUUCCAUUUUUUCUGGCGCAUAGAAAUAAGAGUAUUGUCCAGGUUAGGUAUUAAAUUGAGUAUGGUAUUUGGAUUGCUAUCAGAAUAUCUUUUCUAUGCAUGUGAUUUCUUACAUCUGGUUAUAAUAUUUGUGAAGACGUGCAUUGCACGUGCACUUGGAAGCGGGCCCGUGGCCCGCGCUGGAUGGCGCCGACGCCUACCCGAGCCACCUCGUCCGCGUAUUCUUGGAGCUGUGGCUGGUCGAUUUACAUGAAAUUAAUUCCCCCAGUUCUGGUGACAAAUAUAAUACACAUAAUCCAUAUUAUUAUGCACUAGCGUGUAUGUGUGAAAUAGAUUGAUUAUGGUCCCGUACCCAAUAAGAUGGAUAUGUGUGUGUGUUAGAGAGAGAGGGAGAGGGGGAUAGAGAGUGAGGAAGAGGGAGGGAGAGUGUGUGUCUGUGUGUGUGAGGAUUUGAUGGUAAAAAAAACCGUCAAUGUCGUAAUAUUGAACUCUUAAAGUUAAUGUGGCCCGUUGCAACGCACGGGCGUUCUUCUAGUGUACCUGAGUUUACCUUCCUUGUUCACUAGUCUUUUACUAUACUACUCCCUUCGUUCCUUUAUCUAAGGUGUAUUUAUUUUUUGAACUCCAUCACAAAAGAGGUAGAAGCCACUUGACGAAUGGAAUUGCACCCUCUGUCAAGUGAACCUGACCCGUGAAGAAGACUUAAUGCAACACAAAGCACGCGAACUACACCGGUUGAACCUUGCGGCAUUGCGGUCCAGGCAGAAAGCCUUUGGAUUUGACUUGCGCAACCAUCUCAAGGGCAGCAGCCACCAGGAAAGCACGCAGGCCCUGCACACAGAAGCCGGGAGCUACCAUCUCAAAGGGAGGAGCCAUCAGGAGAGCGCACAGACCCGGAAGGCAGGAGGCAACGAGGAGGGCAAGCAUUUCGCUGACCGCAGGGGUGCUGAAUAUCCGAGGAAGGAGUUUGUAAGCAAAUUUCCCUUCUGCAAGCUCUGCAAAGUGUAGUACUCCAGCGAGAAGGUGAAGGAGUCGCAUCUUGCCGGGAAGAAACACAGGCAGAACCUUCAGGCAAGCCAUUGAGAGGCAGCAGUUGCAGAGCAGCGGCGGUUUGUUGCGAAGUCGUGUGUUUAUUGUACCAUGGGUUAGUGUCUGAUUAACAUGUCAAUCUGCAAAUGUUAGCACGGUGCAGCUGCAACUUGUCAUGUCGGUGGCUGCACUGGAGUUCAUUUGGUGAAGAAUCUACGUGUUUAUGUCCCUAGGUGUCAACAUGUUCCAUCCAGGUGUACAUAUUAGGUUUUCUAGAUCUUUUAGUUUUAGUUAAACUAGAAAGGAGUGGUUCCCUUUUUCUCCUUUUCGAAAGAGAGCUGAUUUCUCCGAUUUCCAGUGCUGAUCCACUGAGGGUUCUAAGAUAGUUGUUGUAAUCGAAGAAGAGCUACCAUGUGUCGUGCAUUGCUAUGUACCUUGUGUCAUCCAAACAUGAUUUGGUACCUUGUGUCAUCCAAACAUGAUUUGGUAUUGAAAUCUCGGAGGCAUUUCAAGGGCCAAUUCACUGGACAACCAAACAUGUGAAUUUGUAUUCCCAUCAUUUCAGUUUCCUCACUGAUUUGGAAUUCAGACCAAUACAAUACGGAGCUCCCCAAUGGAGACAUCCAAACGAAGCGUUACAAUCUCACCUGCUCCUUGAUUUGAGUGAGCCCUAGCCCCUUGAACAAUCGCCGCACCAUUUGCUUCUUUCUCAGAAGAAUCACCAACUUUUGGUUGUAUUAUCAGAUCACAUCUGUGGCAGGUUUGCUUUGGGAAUUUGAUUUCGAAUUCGUUUGAAAUGUCAGCAGCAAUCAAAGUGUCCGUGAUUUUAUUCGAUAAUUUGGUCUGUACGGGUAAUGAUGCCGUAUGAGCAAGAUCUCAUUUAUUCCAAGUUUGUUUCCGACGCAUGCAUCCACACCGUUCAAACUCACUUCGGCAUCUCGGCUCUGGUUUCCUUUGUGACUAAGCAAAACAUCUUAAGCCGCCGCGAUCGAUCAAUCAUUGCUUGUGUGAUCGGGCCUAAUUUGCUUUUUCACGCUGCUUUUCCUCGCGCGCCCGGCCCCUGCUCUUCUCGUCCCCCACCAACUCCGGCGGCCCGGCCUCAGGUUCUUCUCCCUCUCGCCGUCGCUGCUCUGCUACCACCGGAACCCGAGGACCCGACCGAUGGAGUUCUCCCGCCGUGGCCGAGCCACCGACGACGCCGGCGACGGCCAACGCUUCCCUGACCCUCCGCCGCACGGUAACCGUCGAGUCACUGUCACUCUUACCUUCUCCUCGCUGUCUGCCGAUCGUUUAUCACCUUUUGGUUGUUUCAGUUUUCCUGGGUUCAGAUGCAGGCGCUGGUUCGAUUCCAAGCCAAGAACUCGGGAACCUCGACCGCUGGGAGUGGGAUACCUUACAAUUUAUACUAGAGAACUAUAUUUCGGAUCUGUUUGUGAGGCACAAGAUAAAAGAAUCGGACAUAGUUUGUGCAAUCUUACCGCCAAAAGAAUAAAAAACACUUGCAAAUGUAGUAGUACAACUCUUCCACCGACAGAUCAUAUGUUGUAGAGCGGUUGUGCAAAGGGACGCGCUGGUGUAGAAUUCUUGUCACGCUGACACAUCUAAUGGCCGCACAAUGCUGCUGAUGCACGCAGGAGACCCGAUGCUGGUGAUGAGGGACGCGCUGCUGUGGCAGCUCCAGAAGGACCGCCUUCGCCAGGAGAUCAUCGUGGCCGAGCUGGCCAAGAUAGAGCGUGCCAUGGCCCUGCAUACCACUGGAGUUUCUGUUUAUACUUUAGAGGCUUCCCUUACAAUUUUCAUUAAAAAAAUGACACCAUGAUACGAAUCUGAAAAGACAGUGUAAAUAAUCAUAAUUUUCUGUGGUGAUAGAAUAUAUUAUGAUGAGCUACUUUGCAAAAACAAUAGUAUUUGGGGGUGUAAAUUGCUAAAACAAAUCUCAUCUAAGCCCUUCCUCAAAAAUUUCCUUCAUAGUUCGGUCCGAGGCUGGGCCCCCUCGGUCUCAACAUAGCUCCGCCAGUGGUGUCCACCCAAACAUAAUACAACCAGUGUCACAACUGCAUGAUUGACACAUUGAAAUUCGAAGUGCGGUCCGAGGCUGGGCUCCCUUCAUUCCUUUAUAUAAGGUGUAUUUGUUUUUCCUAAACUAGAUCAUGAUAGGCGCGCGUUGCCGCGCCCGUUCAUUUUUUCGAUAGAAUAAUAGGAAAUCCAUAAAAAUGUAUGAUGGCAUAAAACACACACAACCAAUUCCCAAAAAAUGGAAGGACACACUCUGAACUACAAAUAAUCAAAUAACACAAUGACAUAUUUUCUAAGUCAUUCAGCAGCCAGGUUGAGCUACCGGCUAUUUUUUUGCACUAAAAUGAAACAAAUUUAAUUCUAACAAACGGAUGUGAAACCUCUUUUACCGGGAAGGAUUGCCAUAGUCCGGAGAUGGAGACAAACAAAGAUGGUUUUCCCGUCUCAUCAACAUUUUUUUUAGAACGAAGGCUCGCGAUGAGCCCGGCUUUGAAUUAACGAAGCCAUCAACCGGCCAGGAAUUACAACACCACAUCAAGCACAUCGGCCGAAUGAUACAAGGGAGCACCCUAGGAAACUUACAACUCAACGCAGUAUACAAGCUCACAACAUAAAGAAGAGAAAGCCCAAGCUAGUACACGCCGCAGACCGCAGCAACCAAGAACCAAGGAUUGCGACCAACAUGAACACGACGAGGACCUGCCAAAACAGAGUGGAGUUGUGGACAUGACUGAGUCCAAGGUUGGAGGAAACAAAUCAUCUUCCUUUGCUCUCGCCGUAGAGGGACCCUACCCUCUCGCCUUGGAUCGAAAGGCGCCGCCGACGGACAUGAGAGACACUCUCCCUAGAGCAGGAGAGAUGUCGACCUCGAGUCCUGGAACAGGCACAGAGCACACCUCCUAGGACAUAAGCACACCUCGUAUGACACACCGGCGCAACCAAGGACCCCUGAAAGACAGCGGGAAAGCCACCGGGAGCAGCCACUGAAGAACGAGCAGCAAGGACAUCAGGAGAGGUCGCAGAGCGACGAGGGCGAGCCGGACCUCCCCAUAGCCACCUGAGAACCAUAGCCGCCCAAAACUCCACCUUUGUCGCCCCUCACCCGAACGCACGCUCCCCAGGCGGCACCUCCAAGGAGGACACGACGCGCAGCACGCUGUCACCGCCCAAUCCAAGAAGGAUUUUGGGCUUUCACCGGGAGGGGAACGGGGGUGGAUUGGGUGGGACCUCGGCUGCACCUUCAAUGAGGAAGGGCGGCGCCCAAGGGCGUCGCUGCCGCCGGACCGGAACAGCCGACCGAUGGUUUCCCACGGUCCCAAAACCACACCACCAGGCACCCAUCCACGCCUAUCCGGCGACCGAAGCUGCUGAAACCGGCGAGGGUGAGGAGCCAAAGGGAAGGGGAGCCGAACCUCAGAUCUGGCGGGGGGUCUCCACGCCACAGCCACCACCCGCCGCCGUCCCACCACCUGCCUGGUCGGGAACACCGGCCGAGAUCCCCCGCGGAUGCCGCCAGCCGGGGGGACGCCGCCGCCGCGCCAUGAAGGGCCGCCGCCCCAGAUCCGCCGUCCUCCUCCAGGAACGGAGCGAGCAGGGCCUCGCCGCCACCUUCACCGGCGACCGCGCAGNNNNNNNNNNUUUAUCACCUUUUGGUUGUUUCAGUUUUCCUGGGUUCAGAUGCAGGCGCUGGUUCGAUUCCAAGCCAAGAACUCGGGAACCUCGACCGCUGGGAGUGGGAUACCUUACAAUUUAUACUAGAGAACUAUAUUUCGGAUCUGUUUGUGAGGCACAAGAUAAAAGAAUCGGACAUAGUUUGUGCAAUCUUACCGCCAAAAGAAUAAAAAACACUUGCAAAUGUAGUAGUACAACUCUUCCACCGACAGAUCAUAUGUUGUAGAGCGGUUGUGCAAAGGGACGCGCUGGUGUAGAAUUCUUGUCACGCUGACACAUCUAAUGGCCGCACAAUGCUGCUGAUGCACGCAGGAGACCCGAUGCUGGUGAUGAGGGACGCGCUGCUGUGGCAGCUCCAGAAGGACCGCCUUCGCCAGGAGAUCAUCGUGGCCGAGCUGGCCAAGAUAGAGCGUGCCAUGGCCCUGCAUACCACUGGAGUUUCUGUUUAUACUUUAGAGGCUUCCCUUACAAUUUUCAUUAAAAAAAUGACACCAUGAUACGAAUCUGAAAAGACAGUGUAAAUAAUCAUAAUUUUCUGUGGUGAUAGAAUAUAUUAUGAUGAGCUACUUUGCAAAAACAAUAGUAUUUGGGGGUGUAAAUUGCUAAAACAAAUCUCAUNNNNNNNNNNGCCACAGCCACCACCCGCCGCCGUCCCACCACCUGCCUGGUCGGGAACACCGGCCGAGAUCCCCCGCGGAUGCCGCCAGCCGGGGGGACGCCGCCGCCGCGCCAUGAAGGGCCGCCGCCCCAGAUCCGCCGUCCUCCUCCAGGAACGGAGCGAGCAGGGCCUCGCCGCCACCUUCACCGGCGACCGCGCAGGCUUGCUGGCGGCCUCCUCGGGUGGCGACGAGGGGGGGAGGAGGCAGGGGGGGCGGCGCUAGGUGGGAACCCUAGUCGCCUCCCGAGUCGCCCGAACGGACGACGCGGGGGCGGGGGGGGGGGCGUUGAUCGGCUCUUGAAUUUGUCUCAUCAACAUCAUCAGCACAUAUUGAAAAGUACACCUAUAAACUUGUCAUUUUUUUGAGAGAAUACAUGUAAUCCCCUUUGUCAAAUAUGAGGCAUUGAAAAAAUACCCAAUAAUAGUGUGACAAUACUGUAACUAAUCGCCCAACCAGCUCCAGCCGGUCAUGACGCAUGCAUGUCUUUGUCGCUGUGAUGUAAAGCUUGACAAGAAUAAAGAAAACUGAGAAUAUCAUGGUGCCUGCUAUUCCUAGCAGCAAGAGUAUAUAUAUACUUCCCAAACCAAAUAGUUGAAGUUGGAACUGUUUCACCUAAAUUAAAUAACCUCCAACCACCUCGAGCCGGUCAUGAUGCAUGCAUGUUUUUUUCGUUUGAAUAGCCUGCAAGGUAUCAUCAGUUAUUUGUGAAUAUGUCAAAAGCUAAUAACUGACCUAUUUGUGAAGAUGUAAAAAGCUAACAACUGACCUAACAUAACUAUUGUAUUCCGAAGCUUGUUAAAAUCAACAAACUGAAAGCAAACCAAAUACAUUUAUUAUGAAUGGAAUAUUUUGCCUGAUCCAUGAACAGGUUGAAUAAUUUGUCAAUUAGGCUCGGGUGACCAGCCAAUAUGCUUGAGGAAUUACACCUGCAUUAGUCAAACAAACACACAGAUUUAGAUUCACAAGACCAAUUUACUCAAUGAAACAAAACAAUGUCUAAAUACUCUUAACUUGGUAGUCCUGGAUAAAAAUAAUGAUCUUGUUCUUAGUCGAUGUACUACAACACAUGAAAAUAGGCCAAACCAAUGAAUGGAUGCCCACAGAAAGAACGCAGAAAUCUCCAAAUUUCUGCCCACUCAAUUUAUAAAAUAACUAAUGCAGCUAGCAGACAUACCUCUCAACAUUCCUACCAUAGCCUCUAUAAGCUGGAAUUCUAGGAGUAUUGGUUAUUUUCAUAUGUUACAACCUGUUAUUUUUCCUCAACGCUGCAACAACACCACACCAUGCAAAUAUAAUUUAACAUAUGUAAAGUGAAAAAAACUGCAUGUGUCCUGUAAACGUGCCGCUUCAAAUGUACCGAAUCAAGCAUCGCUUCAGGUCAUCCAGCUCAGAGAAAAGCUGUUGUACCAUUACACAGAAGUAACUCACAAAAUGUCUGGCUUAAUCAGAAUAAGGAUGGCCUAAAUAGCUCACAAAAUAAAUGAUAGAGCUUGACAGAAAAUAUAUUUAAUUUAAUUUGAAGAGAGGUCAAAAAUCUGGAAUCAGCUUCCGUCAUGGAAAGGGGAUUUCAGUUAUGAACACAAUGUACAUACAUGAGAAAAAAACAUAGAACCAGUGAUAACUUAGUGAGGAGCCAAUCAUGAAACCAGUGAAUUAGUAUGAAGAUAUUGAAUUUGCAACAAAUUAGAAAUAGAUACAGCAGCCAAGGAAAAACAUCCUAGAAGCGAAAGUUGGCCUUACAUUAGAAAAUAGACACAUUUUGCACAGCAAAGAAAAUUAGAUCUACUGAUCUCCACUGCCAUAUUCUUUUUUUUCUUAAACAUGUCCACUGUCACAUGUUUCUUAUAAUGCAUGAAAGAAGUAGAAAGAGAUAUAGCAUAUAUCGAAGAUCAAAAAUGCUGGGGAGAGGGAAAGAAAAAAAGUACUUCAAUACAUCCCCAAUAUACUUUCAAUCAAAACACCNNNNNNNNNNUUUAUCACCUUUUGGUUGUUUCAGUUUUCCUGGGUUCAGAUGCAGGCGCUGGUUCGAUUCCAAGCCAAGAACUCGGGAACCUCGACCGCUGGGAGUGGGAUACCUUACAAUUUAUACUAGAGAACUAUAUUUCGGAUCUGUUUGUGAGGCACAAGAUAAAAGAAUCGGACAUAGUUUGUGCAAUCUUACCGCCAAAAGAAUAAAAAACACUUGCAAAUGUAGUAGUACAACUCUUCCACCGACAGAUCAUAUGUUGUAGAGCGGUUGUGCAAAGGGACGCGCUGGUGUAGAAUUCUUGUCACGCUGACACAUCUAAUGGCCGCACAAUGCUGCUGAUGCACGCAGGAGACCCGAUGCUGGUGAUGAGGGACGCGCUGCUGUGGCAGCUCCAGAAGGACCGCCUUCGCCAGGAGAUCAUCGUGGCCGAGCUGGCCAAGAUAGAGCGUGCCAUGGCCCUGCAUACCACUGGAGUUUCUGUUUAUACUUUAGAGGCUUCCCUUACAAUUUUCAUUAAAAAAAUGACACCAUGAUACGAAUCUGAAAAGACAGUGUAAAUAAUCAUAAUUUUCUGUGGUGAUAGAAUAUAUUAUGAUGAGCUACUUUGCAAAAACAAUAGUAUUUGGGGGUGUAAAUUGCUAAAACAAAUCUCAUNNNNNNNNNNAUUUUUUCGAUAGAAUAAUAGGAAAUCCAUAAAAAUGUAUGAUGGCAUAAAACACACACAACCAAUUCCCAAAAAAUGGAAGGACACACUCUGAACUACAAAUAAUCAAAUAACACAAUGACAUAUUUUCUAAGUCAUUCAGCAGCCAGGUUGAGCUACCGGCUAUUUUUUUGCACUAAAAUGAAACAAAUUUAAUUCUAACAAACGGAUGUGAAACCUCUUUUACCGGGAAGGAUUGCCAUAGUCCGGAGAUGGAGACAAACAAAGAUGGUUUUCCCGUCUCAUCAACAUUUUUUUUAGAACGAAGGCUCGCGAUGAGCCCGGCUUUGAAUUAACGAAGCCAUCAACCGGCCAGGAAUUACAACACCACAUCAAGCACAUCGGCCGAAUGAUACAAGGGAGCACCCUAGGAAACUUACAACUCAACGCAGUAUACAAGCUCACAACAUAAAGAAGAGAAAGCCCAAGCUAGUACACGCCGCAGACCGCAGCAACCAAGAACCAAGGAUUGCGACCAACAUGAACACGACGAGGACCUGCCAAAACAGAGUGGAGUUGUGGACAUGACUGAGUCCAAGGUUGGAGGAAACAAAUCAUCUUCCUUUGCUCUCGCCGUAGAGGGACCCUACCCUCUCGCCUUGGAUCGAAAGGCGCCGCCGACGGACAUGAGAGACACUCUCCCUAGAGCAGGAGAGAUGUCGACCUCGAGUCCUGGAACAGGCACAGAGCACACCUCCUAGGACAUAAGCACACCUCGUAUGACACACCGGCGCAACCAAGGACCCCUGAAAGACAGCGGGAAAGCCACCGGGAGCAGCCACUGAAGAACGAGCAGCAAGGACAUCAGGAGAGGUCGCAGAGCGACGAGGGCGAGCCGGACCUCCCCAUAGCCACCUGAGAACCAUAGCCNNNNNNNNNNAAAUAUAUUUAAUUUAAUUUGAAGAGAGGUCAAAAAUCUGGAAUCAGCUUCCGUCAUGGAAAGGGGAUUUCAGUUAUGAACACAAUGUACAUACAUGAGAAAAAAACAUAGAACCAGUGAUAACUUAGUGAGGAGCCAAUCAUGAAACCAGUGAAUUAGUAUGAAGAUAUUGAAUUUGCAACAAAUUAGAAAUAGAUACAGCAGCCAAGGAAAAACAUCCUAGAAGCGAAAGUUGGCCUUACAUUAGAAAAUAGACACAUUUUGCACAGCAAAGAAAAUUAGAUCUACUGAUCUCCACUGCCAUAUUCUUUUUUUUCUUAAACAUGUCCACUGUCACAUGUUUCUUAUAAUGCAUGAAAGAAGUAGAAAGAGAUAUAGCAUAUAUCGAAGAUCAAAAAUGCUGGGGAGAGGGAAAGAAAAAAAGUACUUCAAUACAUCCCCAAUAUACUUUCAAUCAAAACACCCAGCUCUAACAUGAAAAAAGAUGUUAUUGACCAAUCUGCAGCUGUAUAGUGAGUUGGUAAUCAAUUAUUUGGAGAACAGAGACAUUAGACUUUUUUGCUACAGAAUACAGGUAUCGGAAAUAUAUGUCCUCACAAACGUCCUGAUAUCUGAUUGACAUCGACCAAAUCCAAAAGAUACAUCAGAAAGCUAUGUCUAGUCGUGAGCAGUGAGGAUUACAGGGUUAGAAUAUCUGAAUAUUUAGGAGGAUAAAUACCCGAAGAUAUCAUAUUUUUCACAUCAUAUCUGGUGAACACUGACAUCAUAUCGGCAAUUCAUCAAACAGUUCAAGUGCAAAGGCUAAAGCGCCAUCUCAACAGAAAGAAAUUGGAAAUAUGGUAGUUGUAGAGNNNNNNNNNNAUUUUUUCGAUAGAAUAAUAGGAAAUCCAUAAAAAUGUAUGAUGGCAUAAAACACACACAACCAAUUCCCAAAAAAUGGAAGGACACACUCUGAACUACAAAUAAUCAAAUAACACAAUGACAUAUUUUCUAAGUCAUUCAGCAGCCAGGUUGAGCUACCGGCUAUUUUUUUGCACUAAAAUGAAACAAAUUUAAUUCUAACAAACGGAUGUGAAACCUCUUUUACCGGGAAGGAUUGCCAUAGUCCGGAGAUGGAGACAAACAAAGAUGGUUUUCCCGUCUCAUCAACAUUUUUUUUAGAACGAAGGCUCGCGAUGAGCCCGGCUUUGAAUUAACGAAGCCAUCAACCGGCCAGGAAUUACAACACCACAUCAAGCACAUCGGCCGAAUGAUACAAGGGAGCACCCUAGGAAACUUACAACUCAACGCAGUAUACAAGCUCACAACAUAAAGAAGAGAAAGCCCAAGCUAGUACACGCCGCAGACCGCAGCAACCAAGAACCAAGGAUUGCGACCAACAUGAACACGACGAGGACCUGCCAAAACAGAGUGGAGUUGUGGACAUGACUGAGUCCAAGGUUGGAGGAAACAAAUCAUCUUCCUUUGCUCUCGCCGUAGAGGGACCCUACCCUCUCGCCUUGGAUCGAAAGGCGCCGCCGACGGACAUGAGAGACACUCUCCCUAGAGCAGGAGAGAUGUCGACCUCGAGUCCUGGAACAGGCACAGAGCACACCUCCUAGGACAUAAGCACACCUCGUAUGACACACCGGCGCAACCAAGGACCCCUGAAAGACAGCGGGAAAGCCACCGGGAGCAGCCACUGAAGAACGAGCAGCAAGGACAUCAGGAGAGGUCGCAGAGCGACGAGGGCGAGCCGGACCUCCCCAUAGCCACCUGAGAACCAUAGCCGCCCAAAACUCCACCUUUGUCGCCCCUCACCCGAACGCACGCUCCCCAGGCGGCACCUCCAAGGAGGACACGACGCGCAGCACGCUGUCACCGCCCAAUCCAAGAAGGAUUUUGGGCUUUCACCGGGAGGGGAACGGGGGUGGAUUGGGUGGGACCUCGGCUGCACCUUCAAUGAGGAAGGGCGGCGCCCAAGGGCGUCGCUGCCGCCGGACCGGAACAGCCGACCGAUGGUUUCCCACGGUCCCAAAACCACACCACCAGGCACCCAUCCACGCCUAUCCGGCGACCGAAGCUGCUGAAACCGGCGAGGGUGAGGAGCCAAAGGGAAGGGGAGCCGAACCUCAGAUCUGGCGGGGGGUCUCCACGCCACAGCCACCACCCGCCGCCGUCCCACCACCUGCCUGGUCGGGAACACCGGCCGAGAUCCCCCGCGGAUGCCGCCAGCCGGGGGGACGCCGCCGCCGCGCCAUGAAGGGCCGCCGCCCCAGAUCCGCCGUCCUCCUCCAGGAACGGAGCGAGCAGGGCCUCGCCGCCACCUUCACCGGCGACCGCGCAGNNNNNNNNNNACAUGAAAAAAGAUGUUAUUGACCAAUCUGCAGCUGUAUAGUGAGUUGGUAAUCAAUUAUUUGGAGAACAGAGACAUUAGACUUUUUUGCUACAGAAUACAGGUAUCGGAAAUAUAUGUCCUCACAAACGUCCUGAUAUCUGAUUGACAUCGACCAAAUCCAAAAGAUACAUCAGAAAGCUAUGUCUAGUCGUGAGCAGUGAGGAUUACAGGGUUAGAAUAUCUGAAUAUUUAGGAGGAUAAAUACCCGAAGAUAUCAUAUUUUUCACAUCAUAUCUGGUGAACACUGACAUCAUAUCGGCAAUUCAUCAAACAGUUCAAGUGCAAAGGCUAAAGCGCCAUCUCAACAGAAAGAAAUUGGAAAUAUGGUAGUUGUAGAGAGUGCCACGGCAGGUUAGCAUGGUCCAUACCUUUAGAUCGCUGCAGAGGUGCACGUAUAGGAGGGGUCGGGGCAUACACAUCCACAUGCUGCCAUUGUAGACACCGUAACCGGCCGUGCCUCCAUCAGCAAGUGACCGAUGCUAUUUCGAUCGCGCCAAAAGAUCAUAUGACGUAUGAUCGUACCUUGCUUGCCGGGGGCUCGACCGAGGUAGGAUCCAGCAACGGGGCAACCGAGAAGUUCAAACCCGGCGUAGAAAGAAGCUGGACCAGGCCUGCGGCGGCAACUCGCCCACCAUCUCCUUCUUGUGCUUGCGGUCUUUCGGAUCCUCGUGCGUGUCCGACGUGUACCCGCCGUCGGGGGUGCCUUUGUCGCUCGGUCGAGAGAGGGAUGUCGUGGCUCGAGGUUGGCGUCGACAGUGGCAGCGGCGGCGGUGACGCACAACGAUACGGUCGGAGGCGAGGUCAAGGGGGUGCCUUCGUCGCUCGGGUGAGAGAGGAACGCCGUGGCUGGAGGUUGGCGUCGACAGUGGCAGUGGCGGCGGCGGCGAGGGGAGGUCGGGGAAAGAGAUAGACGAAGGAGAGGGACGUGUUUGCGGGCUUCGUGGGGUUGAAUGAGCUCCGAGUGUAAACAGGCCCGAUUAACCAGAGGCCACCGUUUUUUCUCUCGGAGUAGGAGCCGCUUAGACAGCGGCCCAGUUAGCGCGAAACUGAGCAUCGGACGGCCAAGAUGACCCAGAUUCUUAAUCUGACGGCCAAAAUCUUCAAAUGCGUGAGAGGGCUGGAAUAGUGCGCGGUUGUAAUGUAUUUAAAUAUUCCACAAUGUAAGGUGUAUUUCGCUUUUCCUCUCAUAUUUUCAUGUGUGCCCUCUCAUAUUUAUCACCUUUUGGUUGUUUCAGUUUUCCUGGGUUCAGAUGCAGGCGCUGGUUCGAUUCCAAGCCAAGAACUCGGGAACCUCGACCGCUGGGAGUGGGAUACCUUACAAUUUAUACUAGAGAACUAUAUUUCGGAUCUGUUUGUGAGGCACAAGAUAAAAGAAUCGGACAUAGUUUGUGCAAUCUUACCGCCAAAAGAAUAAAAAACACUUGCAAAUGUAGUAGUACAACUCUUCCACCGACAGAUCAUAUGUUGUAGAGCGGUUGUGCAAAGGGACGCGCUGGUGUAGAAUUCUUGUCACGCUGACACAUCUAAUGGCCGCACAAUGCUGCUGAUGCACGCAGGAGACCCGAUGCUGGUGAUGAGGGACGCGCUGCUGUGGCAGCUCCAGAAGGACCGCCUUCGCCAGGAGAUCAUCGUGGCCGAGCUGGCCAAGAUAGAGCGUGCCAUGGCCCUGCAUACCACUGGAGUUUCUGUUUAUACUUUAGAGGCUUCCCUUACAAUUUUCAUUAAAAAAAUGACACCAUGAUACGAAUCUGAAAAGACAGUGUAAAUAAUCAUAAUUUUCUGUGGUGAUAGAAUAUAUUAUGAUGAGCUACUUUGCAAAAACAAUAGUAUUUGGGGGUGUAAAUUGCUAAAACAAAUCUCAUGUAAGCCCUUCCUCAAAAAUUUCCUUCAUAGUUCGGUCCGAGGCUGGGCCCCCUCGGUCUCAACAUAGCUCCGCCAGUGGUGUCCACCCAAACAUAAUACAACCAGUGUCACAACUGCAUGAUUGACACAUUGAAAUUCGAAGUGCGGUCCGAGGCUGGGCUCCCUUCAUUCCUUUAUAUAAGGUGUAUUUGUUUUUCCUAAACUAGAUCAUGAUAGGCGCGCGUUGCCGCGCCCGUUUAUUUUUUCGAUAGAAUAAUAGGAAAUCCAUAAAAAUGUAUGAUGGCAUAAAACACACACAACCAAUUCCCAAAAAAUGGAAGGACACACUCUGAACUACAAAUAAUCAAAUAACACAAUGACAUAUUUUCUAAGUCAUUCAGCAGCCAGGUUGAGCUACCGGCUAUUUUUUUGCACUAAAAUGAAACAAAUUUAAUUCUAACAAACGGAUGUGAAACCUCUUUUACCGGGAAGGAUUGCCAUAGUCCGGAGAUGGAGACAAACAAAGAUGGUUUUCCCGUCUCAUCAACAUUUUUUUUAGAACGAAGGCUCGCGAUGAGCCCGGCUUUGAAUUAACGAAGCCAUCAACCGGCCAGGAAUUACAACACCACAUCAAGCACAUCGGCCGAAUGAUACAAGGGAGCACCCUAGGAAACUUACAACUCAACGCAGUAUACAAGCUCACAACAUAAAGAAGAGAAAGCCCAAGCUAGUACACGCCGCAGACCGCAGCAACCAAGAACCAAGGAUUGCGACCAACAUGAACACGACGAGGACCUGCCAAAACAGAGUGGAGUUGUGGACAUGACUGAGUCCAAGGUUGGAGGAAACAAAUCAUCUUCCUUUGCUCUCGCCGUAGAGGGACCCUACCCUCUCGCCUUGGAUCGAAAGGCGCCGCCGACGGACAUGAGAGACACUCUCCCUAGAGCAGGAGAGAUGUCGACCUCGAGUCCUGGAACAGGCACAGAGCACACCUCCUAGGACAUAAGCACACCUCGUAUGACACACCGGCGCAACCAAGGACCCCUGAAAGACAGCGGGAAAGCCACCGGGAGCAGCCACUGAAGAACGAGCAGCAAGGACAUCAGGAGAGGUCGCAGAGCGACGAGGGCGAGCCGGACCUCCCCAUAGCCACCUGAGAACCAUAGCCACCCAAAACUCCACCUUUGUCGCCCCUCACCCGAACGCACGCUCCCCAGGCGGCACCUCCAAGGAGGACACGACGCGCAGCGCGCUGUCACCGCCCAAUCCAAGAAGGAUUUUGGGCUUUCACCGGGAGGGGAACGGGGGUGGAUUGGGUGGGACCUCGGCUGCACCUCCAACGAGGAAGGGCGGCGCCCAAGGGCGUCGCUGCCGCCGGACCGGAACAGCCGACCGAUGGUUUCCCACGGUCCCAAAACCACACCACCAGGCACCCAUCCAUGCCUAUCCGGCGACCGAAGCUGCUGAAACCGGCGAGGGUGAGGAGCCAAAGGGAAGGGGAGCCGAACCUCAGAUCUGGCGGGGGGUCUCCAUGCCACAGCCACCACCCGCCGCCGUCCCACCACCUGCCUGGUCGGGAACACCGGCCGAGAUCCCCCGCGGAUGCCGCCAGCCGGGGGGACGCCGCCGCCGCGCCAUGAAGGGCCGCCGCCCCAGAUCCGCCGUCCUCCUCCAGGAACGGAGCGAGCAGGGCCUCGCCGCCACCUUCACCGGCGACCGCGCAGNNNNNNNNNNNNNNNNNNNNNNNNNNNNNNNNNNNNNNNNNNNNNNNNNNNNNNNNNNNNNNNNNNNNNNNNNNNNNNNNNNNNNNNNNNNNNNNNNNNNNNNNNNNNNNNNNNNNNNNNNNNNNNNNNNNNNNNNNNNNNNNNNNNNNNNNNNNNNNNNNNNNNNNNNNNNNNNNNNNNNNNNNNNNNNNNNNNNNNNNNNNNNNNNNNNNNNNNNNNNNNNNNNNNNNNNNNNNNNNNNNNNNNNNNNNNNNNNNNNNNNNNNNNNNNNNNNNNNNNNNNNNNNNNNNNNNNNNNNNNNNNNNNNNNNNNNNNNNNNNNNNNNNNNNNNNNNNNNNNNNNNNNNNNNNNNNNNNNNNNNNNNNNNNNNNNNNNNNNNNNNNNNNNNNNNNNNNNNNNNNNNNNNNNNNNNNNNNNNNNNNNNNNNNNNNNNNNNNNNNNNNNNNNNNNNNNNNNNNNNNNNNNNNNNNNNNNNNNNNNNNNNNNNNNNNNNNNNNNNNNNNNNNNNNNNNNNNNNNNNNNNNNNNNNNNNNNNNNNNNNNNNNNNNNNNNNNNNNNNNNNNNGGGGGGGGGCGUUGAUCGGCUCUUGAAUUUGUCUCAUCAACAUCAUCAGCACAUAUUGAAAAGUACACCUAUAAACUUGUCAUUUUUUUGAGAGAAUACAUGUAAUCCCCUUUGUCAAAUAUGAGGCAUUGAAAAAAUACCCAAUAAUAAUGUGACAAUACUGUAACUAAUCGCCCAACCAGCUCCAGCCGGUCAUGACGCAUGCAUGUCUUUGUCGCUGUGAUGUAAAGCUUGACAAGAAUAAAGAAAACUGAGAAUAUCAUGGUGCCUGCUAUUCCUAGCAGCAAGAGUAUAUAUAUACUUCCCAAACCAAAUAGUUGAAGUUGAAACUGUUUCACCUAAAUUAAAUAACCUCCAACCACCUUGAGCCGGUCAUGAUGCAUGCAUGUUUUUUUCGUUUGAAUAGCCUGCAAGGUAUCAUCAGUUAUUUGUGAAUAUGUCAAAAGCUAAUAACUGACCUAUUUGUGAAGAUGAAAAAGCUAACAACUGACCUAACAUAACUAUUGUAUUCCGAAGCUUGUUAAAAUCAACAAACCGAAAGCAAACCAAAUACAUUUAUUAUGAAUGGAAUAUUUUGCCUGAUCCAUGAACAGGUUGAAUAAUUUGUCAAUUAGGCUCGGGUGACCAGCCAAUAUGUUUGAGGAAUUACACCUGCAUUAGUCAAACAAACACACAGAUUUAGAUUCACAAGACCAAUUUACUCAAUGAAACAAAACAAUGUCUAAAUACUCUUAACUUGGUAGUCCUGGAUAAAAAUAAUGAUCUUGUUCUUAGUCGAUGUACUACAACACAUGAAAAUAGGCCAGACCAAUGAAUGGAUGCCCACAGAAAGAACGCAGAAAUCUCCAAAUUUCUGCCCACUCAAUUUAUAAAAUAACUAAUGCAGCUAGCAGACAUACCUCUCAACAUUCCUACCAUAGCCUCUAUAAGCUGGAAUUCUAGGAGUAUUGGUUAUUUUCAUAUGUUACAACUUGUUAUUUUUCCUCAACGCUGCAACAACACCACACCAUGCAAAUAUAUUUAACAUAUGUAAAGUGAAAAAAACUGCAUGUGUCCUGUAAACGUGCCGCUUCAAAUGUAUCGAAUCAAGCAUCGCUUCAGGUCAUCCAGCUCAGAGAAAAGCUGUUGUACCAUUACACAGAAGUAACUCACAAAAUGUCUGGCUUAAUCAGAAUAAGGAUGGCCUAAAUAGCUCACAAAAUAAAUGAUAGAGCUUGACAGCAAAUAUAUUUAAUUUAAUUUGAAGAGAGGUCAAAAAUCUGGAAUCAGCUUCCGUCAUGGAAAGGGGAUUUCAGUUAUGAACACAAUGUACAUACAUGAGAAAAAAACAUAGAACCAGUGAUAACUUAGUGAGGAGCCAAUCAUGAAACCAGUGAAUUAGUAUGAAGAUAUUGAAUUUGCAACAAAUUAGAAAUAGAUACAGCAGCCAAGGAAAAACAUCCUAGAAGCGAAAGUUGGCCUUACAUUAGAAAAUAGACACAUUUUGCACAGCAAAGAAAAUUAGAUCUACUGAUCUCCACUGCCAUAUUCUUUUUUUUCUUAAACAUGUCCACUGUCACAUGUUUCUUAUAAUGCAUGAAAGAAGUAGAAAGAGAUAUAGCAUAUAUCGAAGAUCAAAAAUGCUGGGGAGAGGGAAAGAAAAAAAGUACUUCAAUACAUCCCCAAUAUACUUUCAAUCAAAACACCUAGCUCUUACAUGAAAAAAGAUGUUAUUGACCAAUCUGCAGCUGUAUAGUGAGUUGGUAAUCAAUUAUUUGGAGAACAGAGACAUUAGACUUUUUUGCUACAGAAUACAGGUAUCGGAAAUAUAUGUCCUCACAAACGUCCUGAUAUCUGAUUGACAUCGACCAAAUCCAAAAGAUACAUCAGAAAGCUAUGUCUAGUCGUGAGCAGUGAGGAUUACAGGGUUAGAAUAUCUGAAUAUUUAGGAGGAUAAAUACCCGAAGAUAUCAUAUUUUUCACAUCAUAUCUGGUGAACACUGACAUCAUAUCGGCAAUUCAUCAAACAGUUCAAGUGCAAAGGCUAAAGCGCCAUCUCAACAGAAAGAAAUUGGAAAUAUGGUAGUUGUAGAGUGCCACGGCAGGUUAGCAUGGUCCAUACCUUUAGAUCGCUGCAGAGGUGCACGUAUAGGAGGGGUCGGGGCAUACACAUCCACAUGCUGCCAUUGUAGACACCGUGACCGGCCGUGCCUCCAUCAGCAAGUGACCGAUGCUAUUUCGAUCGCGCCAAAAGAUCAUAUGACGUAUGAUCGUACCUUGCUUGCCGGGGGCUCGACCGAGGUAGGAUCCAGCAACGGGGCAACCGAGAAGUUCAAACCUGGCGUAGAAAGAAGCUGGACCAGGCCUGCGGCGGCAACUCGCCCACCAUCUCCUUCUUGUGCUUGCGGUCUUUCGGAUCCUCGUGCGUGUCCGACGUGUACCCGCCGUCGGGGGUGCCUUUGUCGCUCGGUCGAGAGAGGGAUGUCGUGGCUCGAGGUUGGCGUCGACAGUGGCAGCGGCGGCGGUGACGCACAACGAUACGGUCGGAGGCGAGGUCAAGGGGGUGCCUUCGUCGCUCGGGUGAGAGAGGAACGCCGUGGCUGGAGGUUGGUGUCGACAGUGGCAGUGGCGGCGGCGGCGAGGGGAGGUCGGGGAAAGAGAUAGACGAAGGAGAGGGACGUGUUUGCGGGCUUCGUGGGGUUGAAUGAGCUCCGAGUGUAAACAUGCCCGAUUAACCAGAGGCCACCGUUUUUUCUAUCGGAGUAGGAGCCGCUUAGACAGCGGCCCAGUUAGCGCGAAACUGAGCAUCGGACGGCCAAGAUGACCCAGAUUCUUAAUCUGACGGCCAAAAUCUUCAAAGGCGUGAGAGGGCUGGAAUAGUGCGCGGUUGUAAUGUAUUUAAAUAUUCCACAAUGUAAGGUGUAUUUCGCUUUUCCUCUCAUAUUUUCAUGUGUGCCCUUUCACCAUCCAGUACAUGCCUUCUAUGAAAAGUAGUAGAUACUCCUCAAUAGGAAGGUAGUAAAAAAAUCUCUCUCCCUGAUUGCAUGCGUUCACAUUUCUCUGUCUCUCAUCCCACCGACUAAUUUAUGGACAUAUAGUUUCUUAAAGUUGCUAACUUUUUUGGAUACGGAUAGAUCCGCUUCCGCAUAGGUAUUUCUUCUAAAAUUUGGUACCAAAUUUAUAUUUGUAAAGUAAGAUUGGAUAUUUCUCAUAUUCACUUCCAUUUUUGUUCUGAUGCAGAUGUUGACUUGCCAUACGCAUUUUAUCGAGGGACAUUUACAUUUAUGCUCCUAAUUUGCGCCCACUUUCAGAUUUACCCCUAAAUUUUUGAUGUGCUCAAAUUUGCCGCUAAAAAUCAUUUUAAGUCGCAGGAAUGCCCUCCCAUCUGGUUAAAGUUUUUUGACCAAAACUUUGAAAAUUCAUAACAAAUUCAUACGAAGUCAGAAAAAUGCAAAUAAGAUAUCCAAAUGUUCAUACAAACAUCACCUAUACGCGCAUGUCAUUUACGUUCCUCACCUACAUGUGCAUUUAUCUGUAUUCACCCUAAAUUGUUUUUAAUGUUAUAAACCCUAAAAAGCUUUAAAAAUUGCUUUUGUCAUGAACGUAAAUGACAUGUGCAUAUAGGUGUUGUUUUUAUGAGCAUUUUGAUAUCUUAUUUUGCAUUCUUAUAAGUUCAUAUGAAUUUGUUAUGAAUUUUCAAAGUUUUGGUCAAACAACUUUGACCAGAUGGAAGGGCAUUCCUGUGACUUAAAAUGCUUUUUAGGGGCAAAUUUGAGCACAUCAAAAAGUUAGGGGUAAAUUUGAGUAGUGGGUUCGAGUUAGGGGCACAAAUGUAAAUGUCCCUUUUAUCGAAUACGAAUAUCAAAUAUAUUAAAUUAUCUCCCGCCACUUUCCACGCUUAUAUACAUCUAACUCCCACUAAAAAAGGGAAACGUUUGGGUACGGAUGACCGGUCGAGCGCUCGGCCGGCCGCGUCGCGAGUCAGUGCGCCACAUCACCCUUCCAUGCGCCCGCACGACUAAUCACUAUGGGCCCCACUCCACCGCUAUUCCCCGUCGCUUCUUUUCUUAUCCUCAUCUCCUUUCUUCAUUUUCCUCAACCGCCUCUGCUUCAGACCACCAAAUCCACCAUGGACGUACAUCCCAGCUCUCUCUCAUCUACUCUACGCCUCGGCAGCUGGACGCCUGCACCCAAAGCCAACCGACAACCCCACCAUCCACCCCACAACAGGAGCGACCACGACGGGGGGCGCUCCUGCUGCUGCGACCGGUGGCGAUGCGCAGGGGCCAUGGCACGACGGUGUAGGAGGGUGCUCGUAGCCACCGUUGGGGGUGGUGCUGGAGCCGUUUGGGCAGUGUUGACGGCCGUCGUCCAUCCCCUCUUCCCCUGCCCCUCCAGCGCAACCAGCUAAUAAUUUUGCUGGAACUGGCCAGCGGAGAAUGGAACCGGUAGAGCGAUAAGCUGCAACCAAUAUUGGCGGUGAGUCGAACAUGCUGCAACCGACAAAUCACUAAGCUACAACCAACGUUUGUUUUUGCUGGGACUAGUGAAGCUUUUUGCUGCCAUCGACGACGGCGAGCCUUUUUUGCUGGAACUGGGUUUUUGUUUUGCUGGAACCAUGUUUUUGUUUUGGUGGAAUCAAACCAUUUGUUUUGCUAGAUUCAUACUAUCCAAGCUAACCGGCAGUGGGCAGUUGCCUGCAUGUCCAUGGCUGCAACCGCCCGUGAAAAAGCUGCCUCCAGCUAAUAGGAAAGUUGCCAUGGGCGCUCACAGAAGCUGCGACGACGGUGACCCGCGAGAUGGCAACGUGCUAGAACUAGGGCAGCAGGAUGCUCGAACCAACGGAGUUUUUUGCUGCGACCGGUGUUAUUCUUUGUUGGAACCGAAUGGUGUUUUUGCUGGCACCGCAUGUUUUUGCUGCAACAGCAUCAAAUUUUGCAGAAUUUGUUGUUUAUUUUUGCUGGAACCAGCAAUGUUGGGUGGUGGGAUGUUGAGGUGGUGGGGGUUCGCUUGCGCCGGCAGCGGUUUUUGGUUCGCCCACAACGUUUUUUGUUGGAUCAAUGCUUUUGUUUUGCUGCAUCCGUCGCUAGAGGAGCCGCACACAAACGACAGUGGAGCGGAGCCAGCAGUGGUGGACAUGCGGCCAGCGGCGCCCUACAGCACACCGGCAGUGCUGUGAGAUUGCAGGAACAAAGGGGGGCUGGGUGCGCUGCGAGAUGCAUGGCGCAGCGGGGGGAUUUUUCCAGCGAGAUGCGCGAUGUGGCGGGGUAUGCACGAGGUCGAAGACACUUGGAGGUGAAUCAGACGGUUGAGAAUAGUUGCAUCGUACGGCUGCAGGCCGACCGGCCAAAACGUUCGGCCGGCGCGCCGGCGCCUAUCAGUCGCCCCAAAAAAUGCCUAAUUCUCCUCGGUUAUUGGAAGGGAAAUCAUCUGCCCGUUUAAAAAAUGCAAAUGGUUUUUUGGAGGAAAUAUAAUCCGUCAUAUACAUGCAAUAAUCACCUGGAGUCUUUAUCACAGUUGCCGUAUGAGAGCUUAGCUAGUGUACAGCUGAAAGGUGGUUGCCCAGACUCAUUACACUUUGUCUGGUAGCGACACUUUAUGAUGGAGACAAAUCCGCAUAUCUAGAGGUAGGGAUUCUAAGCUAGUCCCUAAGCUAGAUGUCUUGGAACAAGGGUAACAAGGACAUAGGGAUUUUACCCAGGUUCGACUCUCUUGAAGAGAUAGUACCUUACAUCAUGCUUGUGACGCCCCCGAUUCAAUCGUACACUAAUCAUGCACGCAAACGUGUAUGAUCAAGAUCAGGGACUCACGGGAAGAUAUCACAACACAACUCUAAAAACAUAAAUAAGUCAUACAAGCAUCAUAAUACAAGCCAGGGGCCUCGAGGGCUCGAAUACAAGUGCUCGAUCAUAGACGAGUCAGCGGAAGCAACAAUAUCUGAGUACGGACAUAAGUUAAACAAGUUUGCCUUAAGAAGGCUAGCACAAACUGGGAUACAGAUCGAAAGAGGCGCAGGCCUCCUGCCUGGGAUCCUCCUAAACUACUCAUGGUCGUCGUCAGCAGCCUGCACGUAGUAGUAGGCACCUCCAGUGUAGUAGGAAUCAUCGUCGAUGGUGGCGUCUGGCUCCAGAGCUCCAGCAUCUGGUUGCGACAACCUGGUAGGAGGGAAAGAGGGAAAAAGGGGGGAGAAAGCAACCGUGAGUACUCAUCCAAAGUACUCGCAAGCAAGGAGCUACACUACAUAUGCAUGGGUAUAUGUGUAAAGGGCCAUGUCGGUGGACUGAACUGCAGAAUGCCAGAAUAAGAGGGGUAUAGCUAAUCCUGUCGAAGACUACGCUUCUGGCAGCCUCCGUCUUGUAGCAUGUAGAAGAGAGUAGAUUGAAGUCCUCCAAGUAGCAUCUCCAAGUAGCAUCUCCAAGUAGCAUCUCCAGUAGCAUCGCAUAGCAUAAUCCUACCCGGCAAUCCUCCCCUCGUCGCCCUGUGGAAAAGCGAUCACCGGGUUGUCUGUGGAACUUGGAAGGGUGUGUUUUAUUAAGUAUCAGGUUCUAGUUGUCAUAAGGUCAAGGUACAACUCCAAGUCGUCCUGUUACCGAAGAUCACGACUAUUCAAAUAGAUUAACUUCCCUGCAGGGGUGCACCAACUUACCCAGCACGCUUGAUCCCAUUUGGCCGGACACACUUUCCUGGGUCAUGCCGGCCUCGGAAGAUCAACAUGUCGCAGCCCCACCUAGGCAAAACAGAGAGGCCAACAUGCCGGUCUAAACCUAAGCGCACAUGGGUCUGGGCCCAUCGCCCAUAGCACACCUGCACGUUGCGAGGGCGGCCGGAAGCAGACCUAGCCUAACAGGCGUUCCAGUCCAAUCCGGCGCGCGCCGCUCCGUCGCUGACGUCUGAAGUGCUUCGGCUGAUACCACGACGUCGGGAUACCCAUAACUACUCCCGCGUAGAUGGUUAGUGCGUAUAGGCUCGUAGCCAACUCAGAUCAAAUACCAAGAUCUCGUUAAGCGUGUAAAUAUCCGCGAACGCCGAACAGGGCCAGGCCAACCUCUCUCCUAGGCGGUCUCAACCUGCCCUGUCGCUCCGCCACAAAGAUCCACUCGCGGGUGCUCCACCAGCCGACCCGACUUUAGUCUCCACAUGUAUCAUUUAUAAAGUAUAUACUCCCUCCGUUCCUAAAUACUUGUCUUUCUAGGCAUUUCAACAAAUGACUACAUACGGAGCAAAAUGAGUGAAUCUACACUCUAAAAUAUGUCUACAUACAUCCGUAUGUAGUAGUCAUUUGAAAUGUCUAGAAAGACAAGUAUUUAGGAACGGAGGGAGUAGUAUAUACCCGUGAUCACCUCCCAAGUGAUCGCGACCCGAUAGUAUAGCACAACAGACGGACAAGAAUGUAGGGCCACAGAUGGAAAUACUAGCAUCCUAUACUAGGCAAGUAGGAAUACAGGUAAAGGUAUCAACAGAAGUAGCAAAGACAGGCUAUGCAUCAGGGUAGGAAUAACGGAAAGCAGUAACAUGCUACACUACUCUAAUGCNNNNNNNNNNNNNNNNNNNNNNNNNNNNNNNNNNNNNNNNNNNNNNNNNNNNNNNNNNNNNNNNNNNNNNNNNNNNNNNNNNNNNNNNNNNNNNNNNNNNNNNNNNNNNNNNNNNNNNNNNNNNNNNNNNNNNNNNNNNNNNNNNNNNNNNNNNNNNNNNNNNNNNNNNNNNNNNNNNNNNNNNNNNNNNNNNNNNNNNNNNNNNNNNNNNNNNNNNNNNNNNNNNNNNNNNNNNNNNNNNNNNNNNNNNNNNNNNNNNNNNNNNNNNNNNNNNNNNNNNNNNNNNNNNNNNNNNNNNNNNNNNNNNNNNNNNNNNNNNNNNNNNNNNNNNNNNNNNNNNNNNNNNNNNNNNNNNNNNNNNNNNNNNNNNNNNNNNNNNNNNNNNNNNNNNNNNNNNNNNNNNNNNNNNNNNNNNNNNNNNNNNNNNNNNNNNNNNNNNNNNNNNNNNNNNNNNNNNNNNNNNNNNNNNNNNNNNNNNNNNNNNNNNNNNNNNNNNNNNNNNNNNNNNNNNNNNNNNNNNNNNNNNNNNNNNNNNNNNNNNNNNNNNNNNNNNNNNNNNNNNNNNNNNNNNNNNNNNNNNNNNNNNNNNNNNNNNNNNNNNNNNNNNNNNNNNNNNNNNNNNNNNNNNNNNNNNNNNNNNNNNNNNNNNNNNNNNNNNNNNNNNNNNNNNNNNNNNNNNNNNNNNNNNNNNNNNNNNNNNNNNNNNNNNNNNNNNNNNNNNNNNNNNNNNNNNNNNNNNNNNNNNNNNNNNNNNNNNNNNNNNNNNNNNNNNNNNNNNNNNNNNNNNNNNNNNNNNNNNNNNNNNNNNNNNNNNNNNNNNNNNNNNNNNNNNNNNNNNNNNNNNNNNNNNNNNNNNNNNNNNNNNNNNNNNNNNNNNNNNNNNNNNNNNNNNNNNNNNNNNNNNNNNNNNNNNNNNNNNNNNNNNNNNNNNNNNNNNNNNNNNNNNNNNNNNNNNNNNNNNNNNNNNNNNNNNNNNNNNNNNNNNNNNNNNNNNNNNNNNNNNNNNNNNNNNNNNNNNNNNNNNNNNNNNNNNNNNNNNNNNNNNNNNNNNNNNNNNNNNNNNNNNNNNNNNNNNNNNNNNNNNNNNNNNNNNNNNNNNNNNNNNNNNNNNNNNNNNNNNNNNNNNNNNNNNNNNNNNNNNNNNNNNNNNNNNNNNNNNNNNNNNNNNNNNNNNNNNNNNNNNNNNNNNNNNNNNNNNNNNNNNNNNNNNNNNNNNNNNNNNNNNNNNNNNNNNNNNNNNNNNNNNNNNNNNNNNNNNNNNNNNNNNNNNNNNNNNNNNNNNNNNNNNNNNNNNNNNNNNNNNNNNNNNNNNNNNNNNNNNNNNNNNNNNNNNNNNNNNNNNNNNNNNNNNNNNNNNNNNNNNNNNNNNNNNNNNNNNNNNNNNNNNNNNNNNNNNNNNNNNNNNNNNNNNNNNNNNNNNNNNNNNNNNNNNNNNNNNNNNNNNNNNNNNNNNNNNNNNNNNNNNNNNNNNNNNNNNNNNNNNNNNNNNNNNNNNNNNNNNCGGUGAGGUAGAAACGGGGCGUCGGGGUUGCCUGCCCCGAUCCAGAUCGGGACCAAGAAGAGGGGGCGCGAGGAGAGAGUGGGGGGGUCGGGGGAGAAUGUGGGGUGGGUCGUGGGGGUAGUUAGGGUUUGGGGUGUCGGGUAGUGGGGGUGGAUAAGGGAGCGGUGGUGGGCUGGCCGGUUGGCCCUUGCCAGGUUCGGCCGGCCUGGUGGGGUGGCCGACUGGGCCGGCUGGGUCGAGGCCCAGUGGGGGAAGCGGGGGUUCUUUCCCUCUUCUUAUUUUUAUUUGCUAUUUUUGCUUUCUUUCAGUUUCCUUUUAUUUUAGCUUUAGUAAAUUACCAAAGUGGCACCUAAAUAGAUUUAACAAAUUUAUGCCACUGCCACAAUAGUUUAAUACUUAUGACAAUUUAGUUUUGAAAAUGUUUAUUAUUUUUAAAGCAUUUAAAUAACUGUAUUUGCUACUGUUAUAUUCAUUUAGAGUAUUUAAAUAUUUUAUAAAAGUGUGGUUUCUCCACUAUAAUUACCUAUGCAUUAUUUGGCUCACUCCGAACAUUUUAGUUUUAAUACUUGAAAACUUUUAUUGUUUACUUGAUUUUGAAUUUGAAUUUGAAUCGGUUUUUGAACUAACGAGAGAUUAUCAACAGUAACCGAGGUGACGUGGCAUCCUUAGUAGAGGGUUACUGUAGUUUAAUUACCCGGGCGUCACAAAUCUCCUCCACUACAAGAAAUCUCGUCCCGAGAUUUAAGAGGUAGUGAAAGGGGGGAAGGUUCGGUUACGAAUCUAGCGGGUCUUCUCAUUCUGGCUUGCUCUUCUCGAAGAGAACCGGUCCAAUACAUUGAUGUCUUCAUUUCUCUGCUUCAGGUCCUUAUGAUGAAGUCGGCAUCUUUUCUUCGGGAUCUUCAUCGUAUUUACGAAUAGGUAACGGGGUAGAUCGAAAACGACAGAAUGCUAUAAGGGUAAUAACCUGGGAUUAACCCAUGAAUGAGGAUAUGAGUACCUCUCGAGUUGAACAAAUAGAACACAUCGAGAGUAAAGUUGGAAGGUCCAACAAGAAGUUUCAGGCAGCCAGGCAAUCGUUCAAUGCCUAGUCAGAAGGUGAAAGGGGUUUCAAGCAACGGAAUAAUUAUUGUUUUCAUUGCCAGAAUUGAUGAUCUCAUCGGAAGGUGGCUCAUGAAUUAUGUACGAGUCCACGCAGGAGGAAUAACUUUGGGAAUAGGGGGUGUACAGGAGAGUCAGGUUUCGGUCCUGGUGGAACUGUGGGUUAUGGGCCCACCAUGUGGGUUAAAAGUAGGAAGGGCGGUAAUGUCUCGCACGAUCAUUUAAGCAAGACAUGUCAGAGGAUAGCCUGUCAGUUAUGUCGACAACAACAUUGAUACCAAGGGCGAGGGACGAAGAGAACCAUUUUCCUGCUCGUUGAACAAGGCGGACCAAUAGGCAAAGUUCCCAUCCGUCGGUGGCUACCGAAAUGUCGUCAACACUAGAAACAGGGUCUUACUGACAAAGUUGUACAUCGAGGUGUUUGCACAAGCAGUGGAUUAUUACUGCUUAUAUCAUAUAGAUCAUAGAAAAGGUUUAAACAAACCAAUGGAAGGAAAAUAUGAUCAUCAGAUUAAACAGAACAAUGGAAAGGAAAAUAUGUUUAAACACAUAUUUCAAGGGUAUAUCCUUCCCAAGGACAAGCAGAGCAAGAUAUCCAUGACAGGAUAUAAAGUAGAAAACCAUUUAGGUAAGGGGGGGGGGAAGAAUCUCAUGAUAUUACCCAUAUAAUGGUGUUAGGAUAAAUGAUAAAUAAAAUCUAGCAUCGUGCUUCAAAUGUUCCUGUUGCAAAUCGGAGUACCAUUGACAUGCUUCGAGAUAGCAUUGACAUGGUCUUCAGGUGAAGAUCGGACUUUGGAAAGAACGAAGGAUCCAUCAGGAAUAACUUGUAGAAUAAGUCUUACAAUUUCCUCAUGGAUGAAUGGAUAACCUUGCUGAAAGGAAUCUAUAAUGAUAGGUCCUCCAGCCGGGGGGGGGGGUGCUAGGCAUGACAUCAUGUUACCGGGUCAUCAAAGGAUCAACAUCAUAACUCUUGGAAAGUUGUCCCCAACCAUCAUAUCUGACCGAGAUUCAUAUCCAAUUGGUGUCAUGAAACCUCAGACUCAGGGGGUCCGAGAGGAAAAAGGUGCAACACAAAUCGUCGAAAUGACAUUGCAAGAUCCUCGAGAAAUGAAUUAUGGGAGCGGGUUUCUGAAGCAAUAGUUCAUCAUUAAACCAAGGAGAGGACAAGGAGGUGUCUGGUGAACUCAACGGAAAUUCACCGAGAUUCCCAAAAGAUGGAUUUCCACAAUUAAGUGAACAAGGAGAUAACAUUUGUCAGAUCAAAUGAUAUAAGGAAGUAUGCUCGAGGAAAACAUACACAAUUAGACAUUGGUUGAAAGGUGCGCCCGAAAUAUGGGUUGGGUUGCACGACCAAUGUCAGAAUGGUGAUUCAAUAAUCAAUAGCCUAAGAAUGAACUUUCGACCAUUAACUAAAAAAAUAGGGUUGCUAGAAGGAAAGAAUCCAAACAACACCGUUCACUUGUUGGAAUUAAUACAGGGACCAAGAAAGAAUGGUGACGGUGAGAAGUAUUUCUACGUCAAGAAUUCUGAAGAGGUGGAACAGAUCUCAGAACAUUCUUGACAUAAAGGAUGGUAAUACUCCAAGGUAAAGACGAACAAAUGCUGGAUAACAAGCAUCUUAAGGUAUAACACAAAACACGAACAAGUUUGUGUUGAACGGAAGGCAAUAAAGUGGUCGAUGACAACACAAAUCAUCGAGGGCAAGGAUGGUAUUUCUCAUCAUGAAUCCGGUUGAUAUCCUGGAAGAGCUCAUAAGGUUGAUGAUGAUCACGACACAUUCGUCGAGAGAUUUCAUGAAGAUGUAAUCAAUUGGCGAUGACAUCAAGUCAAAGGAAUGAUGAAGCAAAAGGUUAUUGAAACCAUGGGUACGACACAAACUCGAAAUCAAGUUUGUUGGUCAAGGAGAAAUGGUAUGACGAGGAAGAUCGACGUAAGCUUAGCUGGUGCUCCUGGAAUAAGGACCAGGUAGCACAGUUAAAAUCAGCACGACAAGGAUAUAGCCAAACAGGCUAGGAAUGGCGUGAUCGGUUACAAACUCGUACUUAAAGAAGAUUAUCAAGUGUCGUUGAACCGUAAUGCAGACUCGGUUCAGUUAUCGGUGUCUUUGAGUGUUUAAUAACUCCGAGCCCUAAUCGGUGAGUAUGUAGUACUUGAUGAAGAACUCAUAAGAAAUUAUGCAGUUCCAAGAUAAUCUCGAGAUACCAGGUUGUAAUACUCGACGACAGAUCAAAGUAGAGGUUGGACUGGGGUAUUGCUCUAUAGAAGACAAGUGUUUAAACUUGCAUAGGGAAUGGUAUUUAAAGGAGAACAUGGUCGGAACCACGAUUGCAAAAGGCCAGAUCCCAGAUAUAAGAUGAACUUAUACCAAAGGAAUAAUUAAUUUAAGAGAAGCUUUAAUGAUAAGGUCUACAUCGUGUCCAUGGGCAUGAACACAAAGUUCAAGGUCAACUCCCACUUCUCCAAUGGAUAAUAUUUCAUUCACUUCCCACUUUCAAAGAAGUUGUAGUGUUGAAAUUUUAUCUGGCAAAAUACCAGAAGUGUAUGACUCGUGAAAACUUUCGAGUUCACACAUAUUAAGGAAGGCAUAGGUUCAACCCAUCGGGGCAUCUUAGAAUCAUAUACUAGAACCUUUAGAAGUAAUUAACUCAAGCUCGAAGGCAGAGCAUGGUUGAGGAAGCAGACGAUACAAUUUACCAAAGGCAUUAUGUAUCAGAGAAAAGGCUCACAAGGUUAUUGAAUAUGAAGGGCGUUGUCAGAUAAAAUCCAACAAAGGAUCUGGUGGUCCACAAGGUACCUGAUGUGAGCAUCGGUACUCAACCAGAGGAGGAAAGAAUGCAAGGAGAUAAGUUUAUAGAAACAACUGACUAACUCAAUUGUCAAAUGCAAAGGAAUUAUGAUCUCCAAAUCAAGGGAUCAGAAGCAAUGCUCUGAUUAGGGAUGGAUAAGUUGAAUAGCCCUAGGGUACAAUCAACGACAAUUGGACUAGUCGAGAACCAAUUCCAGUUAAAAGAAUGGAAGCUCAGCCGGAAAGGUAAAUUAUAAGGAUCAAUGAUGAUUGCGUGUAUUCGCAACAUAUUGAGUCAACAGACUCAAAAUGAUAAUGACAAGGAAUGUUAAGAAGGUUUCUAUACUUAUGGGAUUAAUCAUAAUGAAAGCAAACAAGAAAUUCCAGAGCAAUAGGUUGCUGAGGAUUUUCGGAAGAUCGAAUGGUAUUUUGAAGACUUUUGUGAAAUACAUGAAUCAACUGGGGAUGAGUGGAUACUCGAUAAGUGUGAGAAAUUAUUUGAAGGGGUAUUCAUGUGGCAAAGAACUGCUAGGCAGUAGGCACAAAGUAUUCUCGGAACAAUAGAGAAAACUUCGGGGUAUCUUCUAAUAACAAGAUCAAUGGGGGAUGAUCAUAUGAAUGGCAAGUGUAAGUAGUUUUCCAUACGGAUUUAUCGGUGGUCGGGAAUAGCAAAAGCGAUGGGCACAAAGUCUCGAGAGAAUAUCAAAGAGUAUCUCCGAAAUCUUCUGGUGCAGUCGGUGAUCAUCCGGACUGAAGGGCCCCUCCGGUAGAAAGUAUUUUCGAGAACCUAAAAGUUAGAAUUUAGUAAAAAUCGUUUAACCCGAAUAGAAGAGAGUUCAGAAUCCCAGAGUAAAGGUCGAGGAGUAAAAGAUCCUAAUACCACCCAAUGGCGACGUGGGCCCAUAAGGCACACAGCCAUGUUAGUAAAAGUUUUUGCAAUGUCUAGACUCGUCUUCGGCUAAGGAGUGUGGAAGGGGGAUUCCUACAGGCAGUCGGCUCUGAUACCAACUUGUGACGCCCCCGAUUCAAUCGUACACUAAUCAUGCACGCAAACAUGUACGAUCAAGAUCAGGGACUCACGGGAAGAUAUCACAACACAACUCUAAAAACAUAAAUAAGUCAUACAAGCAUCAUAAUACAAGCCAGGGGCCUCGAGGGCUCGAAUACAAGUGCUCGAUCAUAGACGAGUCAGCGGAAGCAACAAUAUUUGAGUACAGACAUAAGUUAAACAAGUUUGCCUUAAGAAGGCUAGCACAAACUGGGAUACAGAUCGAAAGAGGCGCAAGCCUCCUGCCUGGGAUCCUCCUAAACUACUCAUGGUCGUCGUCAGCAGCCUGCACGUAGUAGUAGGCACCUCCAGUGUAGUAGGAAUCAUCAUCGAUGGUGGCGUCUGGCUGCAGAGCUCCAGCAUCUGGUUGCGACAACCAGGUAGGAGGGAAAGAGGGAAAAAGGGGGGAGAAAGCAACCGUGAGUACUCAUCCAAAGUACUCGCAAGCAAGGAGCUACACUACAUAUGCAUGGGUAUAUGUGUAAAGGGCCAUAUCGGUGGACUGAACUGCAGAAUGCCAGAAUAAGAGGGGGAUAGCUAAUCCUGUCGAAGACUACGCUUCUGGCAGCCUCCGUCUUGUAGCAUGUAGAAGAGAGUAGAUUGAAGUCCUCCAAGUAGCAUCUCCAAGUAGCAUCUCCAAGUAGCAUCUCCAGUAGCAUCGCAUAGCAUAAUCCUACCCGGCAAUCCUCCCCUCGUCGCCCUGUGGAAAAGCGAUCACCGAGUUGUCUGUGGAAUUUGGAAGGGUGUGUUUUAUUAAGUAUCAGGUUCUAGUUGUCAAAAGGUCAAGGUACAACUCCAAGUCGUCCUGUUACCGAAGAUCACGGCUAUUCGAAUAGAUUAACUUCCCUGCAGGGGUGCACCAACUUACCCAACACGCUUGAUCCCAUUUGGCCGGACACACUUUCCUGGGUCAUGCCCGGCCUGGGAAGAUCAACACGUCGCAGCCCCACCUAGGCAAAACAGAGAGGCCAACACGCCGGUCUAAACCUAAGCGCACAGGGGUCUGGGCCCAUCGCCCAUAGCACACCUGCCUGUUGCGAGGGCGGCCGGAAGCAGACCUAGCCUAACAGGUGUUCCAGUCCAAUCCGGCGCGCGCCGCUCCGUCGCUGACGUCUGAAGUGCUUCGGCUGAUACCACGACGUCGGGAUACCCAUAACUACUCCCGCGUAGAUGGUUAGUGCGUAUAGGCUCGUAGCCAACUCAGAUCAAAUACCAAGAUCUCGUUAAGCGUGUUAAAUAUCCGCGAACGCCGAACAGGGCCAGGCCCACCUCUCUCCUAGGCGGUCUCAACCUGCCCUGUCGCUCCGCCACAAAGAUCCACUCGCGGGUGCUCCACCAGCCGACCCGACUUUAGUCUCCACAUGUAUCAUGUAUAAAGUAUAUAGUAUAUACCCGUGAUCACCUCCCAAGUGAUCGCGGCCCGAUAGUAUAGCACAACAGACGGACAAGAAUGUAGGGCCACAGAUGGAAAUACUAGCAUCCUAUACUAGGCAAGUAGGAAUACAUGUAAAGGUAUCAACAGAAGUAGUAAAGACAGGCUAUGCAUCAGGGUAGGAAUAACGGAAAGCAGUAACAUGCUACACUACUCUAAUGCAAGCAGUAUAGAGGAGAGUAGGCGAUAUCUGGUGAUCAAGGGGGGGGGCUUGCCUGGUUGCUCUGGCAAGAGAGAGGGGUCGUCAACUCUGUAGUCGAACUGGGCAGCAGCAGCGUCGGUCUCGUAGUCUACCGGAGAGAAAAGGGGGGGAAGAAACAAUGAAUACCAUGUAAACAGAUGCAUAUCGAUGCAUGACAAGACAAGUAACGAUGCUAGGCGGGCCCUAACGUGGUAUGAGGUGAUGCCGGUUAAGGGGGGAAACAUCCGGGAAAAUAUCGCCGGUGUUUCGUGUUUUCGGGCAGAGGAGCCAGAGGGGGAAAGCUGCGGGUUCGAUAGGUUAAGGGUGUGCGGCGGACGAACGGACUGCGUAUCCGGAUUCGUCUCAUCGUUCUGAGCAACUUUCAUGUAGAAAACAUUUUCAUUCGAGUUACGGAUUAAAAGAUAUGAUUUUCUAAAGAUUUUAUUAAUUUCUGAAUUUAAUUAAUUAUUUAAAUUAAUUCGAAAAUGGAAUUAUGACAUCAGCAUGAUGUCAUGCUGACAUCAGCAGUCAACAGAGUUGACUUGGUCAACCUGACCAAUGGGUCCAGUGGGACCCACCUGUCAUACUCUGAUUAGUUUUAUUAGGGGUUAGCUAAACAAAUUCGUGUUUAAUUAGACUAACAAGUUAAUCAGAUUAAUUAAAUAGGACUAAUUAACUUAAUUAAUUCACUAAUUAAUUAAUUAAUUAAUUAUAAUUUUUAUUGAUUCAUUUUUUUAUUUUUAAUAGUUCUGGGGGCUGGGCCCCGGCUGUCAUUGGCCCUAGGGGCCUAAGCGGGCGCAAGGGCUUGCGGGCGUGCGGGCUAACGGGCGCAGGGGCGCCUGGCGCGAGGCGAACCCAGAGGCUGCCCGGGCGAGGCCAUGGACGAAGCCGCCGGCGCCCACGACACCGGCCAGGAGAGGCGGUGGAGGGCCGCGGGUGGCACGGUGGUGGAGGUAGUGGUGGGGCUGGCCGGAGCGGCUCACAGGAAGGGGAGGUGAGGCGAGGCGCGCGGCGGGAGUGUGAGUGCGCGUGCGCACGACGGCUAUGGCCGCGGUCGUCGAGCGGGAACCCAGGGGAAGGAGGAGGAGAGGUGCUCACGGGGGGCGUGUAGGGUCCGGGGCAACGAGGGGCGAGGAGGAGGACGGAGACGAUGCAAUGGNNNNNNNNNNNNNNNNNNNNNNNNNNNNNNNNNNNNNNNNNNNNNNNNNNNNNNNNNNNNNNNNNNNNNNNNNNNNNNNNNNNNNNNNNNNNNNNNNNNNNNNNNNNNNNNNNNNNNNNNNNNNNNNNNNNNNNNNNNNNNNNNNNNNNNNNNNNNNNNNNNNNNNNNNNNNNNNNNNNNNNNNNNNNNNNNNNNNNNNNNNNNNNNNNNNNNNNNNNNNNNNNNNNNNNNNNNNNNNNNNNNNNNNGCCCCGAUCCAGAUCGGGACCAAGACGUGGGGGCGCGAGGAGAGAGUGGGGGGGGGGUCGGGGGAGAAUGUGGGGUGGGUCGUGGGGGUAGUUAGGGUUUGGGGUUUCGGGUAGUGGGGGUGGAUAAGGGAGCGGUGGUGGGCUGGCCGGUUGGCCCUUGCCAGGUUCGGCCGGCCUGGUGGGGUGGCCGACUGGGCCGCUGGGUCGAGGCCCAGUGGGGGAAGCGAGGGUUCUUUCCCUCUUCUUAUUUUUAUUUGCUAUUUUUGCUUUCUUUCAGUUUCCUUUUAUUUUAGCUUUAGUAAAUUACCAAAGUGGCACCUAAAUAGAUUUAACAAAUUUAUGCCACUGCCACAAUAGUUUAAUACUUAUGACAAUUUAGUUUUGAAAAUGUUUAUUAUUUUUAAAGCAUUUAAAUAACUGUAUUUGCUACUGUUAUAUUCAUUUAGAGUAUUUAAAUAUUUUAUAAAAGUGUGGUUUCUCCACCAUAAUUACCUAUGCAUUAUUUGGCUCACUCCGAACAUUUUAGUUUUAAUACUUGAAAACUUUUAUUGUUUACUUGAUUUUGAAUUUGAAUUUGAAUCGGUUUUUGAACUAACGAGAGAUUAUCAACAGUAACCGAGGUGACGUGGCAUCCUUAGUAGAGGGUUACUGUAGUUUAAUUACCCGGGCGUCACAAUGCUUGUGUUUAUUAUAUUGGGAUAUAAUACAGAGUACAUGUGUCUACCACAAGAUUGUUGUGUAAUAUUCUAAUCACCUAUCGACUAGCUAGCCUAGCCUCGGUUUAUAUAAUGCACCGGUGGCAUAGGAUAAUAGGAGUCCUAGUGGGCUACGUCAGUGGAGAAGAGUCCCCGUCUUGUCACUACAAAAAAAACACUUUCGUGACGAUGCAUGUUUGUCACAGUAGGCCACGUUUUCUGUCAUGCAUGUACAUCCACGAAGAUUUACAGAAUCAAGAUAGUCAUAACUGAGCUGUCGGAUAAGUAUUCCAUGACAAUACCAAAAUUAUCAUCACGGAAGUGUCCGCUUCCAUGACGAUAAAUCGCGCGUCAUGAAAUCUUUUCGUAACGGGUAACCGACACGUGACAUCUACCGUAACGAUCAUCGUUAAGCUAUCGGGUUCCGGUUUGGAUCCAAUAAUCCGUUAACAGCUCGACCGACACGUGGAAAUUUAAAUAGGUUCAACUAAAAAUAUUAUUCAGUGACCCCAAACUGGCUUUCAAAAAUGUUCAUCAUUUUUAGAAAAUUGCUGGAAAUAGUAACUAGACAUAAAUAUUAAUGCACAUUUUUCAUGAAAGUUUUGGACUCUGAAUUAAUUCAUUAUGUAUUUGAAUUGGAGCAAAUAUAUUCCAUAAAUAUUUUUAAUGCUCCAAUAAUUCUCGGAAGUUGUGAGGGGCUCUGGCAUAAUCCACAUAGUCCCUACAAAAAUGAUCAGAAUAAAAGAAAUUGAUUUAGUAUUUUUACUAAAUCAGGAACAAAUUACAGAAAACAAAAUAGAACAGAAAAUAGAAAAGGAGGAAAACCCACCUGGCAGCCCACUUACCUGGCGCUCCUGUGCGGCUAGCUAGACGGCCCAGCACACCAGGGGCAGCGCUGUCUUCUUCCUCCUGCCAGGAGGAGAAGCAGUUGUGUGCCCGGCGCAAAGGCCGGCCGCGACCACGUCUCCUCGCCACCUCCUGCUUCCUCUCUUCGCCCUGACGACGCCAUGACACCCCGGACAUCUCUCACUUCUCCGCCCCCGUGCUCAUCCCCUCCUCUGCUGCUCUCUCUCUCUCGCGCCCGAGCGCUGCCGUCGCCGCUGUCGCAAGGCACCGUUCCCACCGCAAUCCCUCUGCCCCGCGGUCGUGUCCUAUAGCUCCGCCUCGACGCCGUGAAGCUCCAAGCUGAAGAACAUGACCUCGGAUGCCUGGAGCCGUCGCCCUCGAGCUCGUCACCGCCGCAUCUGGACGCCGGAAGUCAUCGUCGAUACAUGUGCUGGAGGUCAUCUCCGAGCCCGUUGUUCUGCUCUGCAUGUGCGUUGUGAGCUCCUCUCUAUUUCCCCUCCCCCCUUGCUCUAGUCCAUGCUGCAACUGCUGUCUGCGAGCUCCCGCACCACCGUCCACCAUUGUCGUUGCACGCGUAGCCCUCAAGCUCCUCCGCUCAUAGACAUGCCCUUGGCGUGUUCCUGGUGCUCCCAGGAACCCGUGGAUCCCCUCGGCUACUCUCGCUAUGCCCCAUAGCACCGCGAUGAUCGAGCCCGUGCUUCGGCCGCCGCCAAACCUCGACGCUGGCGUAGUUCCCGGCCACACCAGGUCCAACCAGUGGCACCACUAGAUGUGGCGCACUUCCAGGAGUCGAGCAAGCCUAGCCGCGCGUAGAAGCAUCACCAAACAGCGAUUUCUGAAGAUCUCCGCCGCGGUUUCGGUCAUCGGCGGGCUGACGUGGCUGAGUCAUUAGCUGCUAAUUACCCUACUAAUCAACCCCUUGAGCCACUGACACAUGGGCCCAUGCACCUGUUUAGGUUAGACUAAUGUUCUGCUUAGAUUAGUGAUAAAUCUGUGGCCCCACGUGUCGGCUUUGACAUUGACCUAGUCAACAUUGACUGGGCCCACAUGUCUGUGACACUAACCAGCCCCGAGUCACUGGAUAGUGGGCCCCACACGUCAGGUUUGACCUGGACUGAGUCUGUUGACCUGCUGAGGUCAGCAUGACGCAAUGCUGACGCUGCAAUUGAUUUUCUGGAUUUAAAAUAAUUCAGGAAAUUUCAGAAAAAUGCCCAAAACUUCAAAAAUCGAUAGAAAAUAAUCUAUAACUCCAAAUGAAAUAACUUAAAUGAUCAAAAAAAAAUCUAUCCAUCUGUACCAUUUUCAUGCAUGUUUGAAUAACUUAAAGCUGCUGUAUACAACAAUUUGAAUAAAUGGCAUUUGAAAUGCCUUAUGUGGAGUGUGAAUUUGAACCUAGGGUUCAAACCAACUCCAUUUAAAUCGUUGCUAGCUGCAUUAGCUCAAACCACAGCAUAUUGCCAUGUUAAAAUCAUGCAUCAUAUUAUCGCAUUGCAUUGAUUGUGUUCUUUCUCUGUUGCCGGUGUUUGUCCCCUCUUAGUAGACGUGGUACCGACGAGGAGUUCGAUGACACCAAUGAAGAGCUAAACUAUCUUCAGAAGUGCGAGGCAAGCAAAACCCCCUUGUUCAUUCCGAUACAAUCCCACUCUCUUGCUCCUGCUCUCUUUUACCGCAUUAGGACAACAAUGAUUCAAUUGUUACAUGUUGCGGUAGUUGAAUCCCUUUCCUCUGCAUGACCUAUCAUUGCCACAAUAAAUAGAUGAAACCCACUAGCAUGAGUAGGACUAGUUUGAGCCCUGAUGUGCCUACUCAUUCAUGCUUGUUUGUCAUGCCUGGUACUUCUUAGAGUUGAGUUAGGUCUCAUUCAUUGGGGAUGAAUUGGAAUGUUGUGAAAUAUGUCCUACUGUGUGUGAGCUAAGUGUGUGAACACGAUUUGCUAAAGGUAGCGGUGAGAGGCCACGUAGGAGUACAUGGUGGGUUGUCUCAUUGAAAUCGUCCUCAAGAACUGAGUUCUGUGUCUGUAAUCCAUAAACAGUUGCUACCACACAUUGGGUUCCAGUAAGUCGACCCCUCUUGACUUAUUAAUCAACCUGAUCUCUGUCCAGGAGUUGCAACUAGUUUCUGGUGUUUGUAGGUAGUGCUAGUAGUCUACCAAGUGGCACCCGAUACAGGUGGGCUUGGGACAGACUAGGUGCAGUGGCACGGUGUACCAAGUGGCACCCGGAUGGUGGGCUUGGGACAGACUAGGUGCAGUGGCACGGUGUACCAAGUGGCACCCGGAUGGUGGGCUUGGGAACCCUGCUCACAUCGUUUGGGGCCGUGAGCAACACCCCAGUCGGAUCUCCUUGCAGAUGGAACCCGAAUAGGUGAUAAACCUGGACUAGAGACUUGCGUGGUUAGUCAGGUCGUGGCCGACACCCUCGCCAGACUUCCGCUUGAAGGUUGCCGAGAUACAUGACGUGUACAUGGUGGUAAGUGGCAAUAACGUGUGUGAAGAAGUACACCCCUGCAUGGUUAAUAUGAUCUAUUCGAAUAGCCGCAUCCGCGGUAAAGGACCUCUAGGUUGCCUAUACAGUUCAUAGACAAGUGAAAGUGGAUACUCUAAAAUGCGCAAGAUCAGCGUGAGUGCUAUGGAUGGCGUUCUCGUAGGGAGACGAAAGCGGAUCCAUAAUGGUGUAAUUAUAUGUUGAAUAUGUGGACUCGUGUGCGCCACCUCAAAAGAGUUAUUUGCAGUCGUAGAUAGGAUAGCCACCAAGUCAAAGCUGGCUUGCUGCAGUUAAACCCCACCACCCCUUUUGAUGAUAAUGAUGCAUAUGUAGUUAGUUCUGAUGUAAGUCUUGCUGGGUACAUUUGUACUCACGUUUGCUUAAUUUAUGUUUUUGCACAGAGAGUUCAGUCUCGCUAGUAGUUCCGCGUGCACUUCGACGUUUAGCUUGUUACCUCCGCUACGAUCUUGUGCCCUCGGCAGGAUCUUGUAGAUAGUCAGGCUUCUCAUCCCUUUUCAUUUGUAGUUGUCUGUACUCAGACAUGUUGUGCUUUCAUUGUUUGUAUGCUCUAAAGGUUGGGUCAUGAUACCCAUGAUUGUAAUACUUGGCUCCUCGGAGCCUACUGAAUAAAUACUUUGAGUUGUAGAGUCAUCUUGUGAUGCCAUGUUGCAUUUGCACAUAUCGAGCAUAUUCUGUGUAUGUUAUUGAAAUGCUUGGUAUGUGUGGGAUCCGACAACCUAGUUGUUUAUUCUUGGUAGCCUCUCUUACCGAGAAAUGUCUCCUAGUGCUUCCACUGAGCCAUGGUAGCUUGCUACUGCUCCGAAACACUUAGGUUGGCCGGCAUGUGUCCUUGUUCAUUCCUGUGUCUGUCCCUUCGGGGAAAUGUCACGCGUUGUUCCUUCAAGUCCCUGUAGCUUGCUACGACUUGGGUUCAUACAUUGUUGAUCGGCACAUUCAUUGUUUGGUCAUGUAUGCCUGUCCCUAUAAGUUAGCGCCACCUUGGGUUUAUGACUAGUCAUGUCGGUCCGGGUUCUUUGUCAUAUGGGUGCUAGUAGCACAGUCAUAUACGUGAGCCAAAAGGCGCAAACGGUCCCGGGCCAGGUAAGGUAGCACCUGUAGGAAUACCGUGCGUGAGGCCGCAAAGUGAUAUGAUGUGUUACAUGCUAGAUUGGUGUGACUUAGGAUCAGGGUCCUGACACAAAGAUAGACAGUCCUCAACACCUAAUGCAUAUAAAGAUCAGAGCGUAAAGAUCGAAACAAUCCAUCUCGUGUGGACCGUACAGCUGAGUGGGCAUAUGAUUUUAGAGAGAUUCCUAGCACGCGCCCUAAUCUAAAUCUGAAUGUAAUGACAAACAUUAUUUAAAGACAAUUAAUACCUGAUUAUUUUCGACUGAGGUUAUAUUCCAAAAAUAUAUAUUAGUAGUCUCAUGCACGGAUUGGAUAUAUUGCAACACAUUAAAGACAUACCCAAAAAUGAUGAGAAUUAAUACCUGUAGAUUCUCUUAUGGGAUUAUAUUCCAGAAAUAGGCAGCCUUAUAUAAGUAAUAAUAUAAUGUCCUAAAAUUACAUUAAUUAUAUGCCUGUAGUGACAUUCAGUACCUUCAUAUAUAAAGUGUCCUCCUUCCAUCCAUAUUUCUAUCGGGUAGUACAACACAAAGAACCGAAAAGCGUCUUUCAAGCAUAUGUCCAUGGGAAGACUUGCACAAGUGUCUAUCACCCUUAUUAUCGUCCUUCUUUACACCGGCCUCCUAGCCGAAGGUAUGUGUUCAUAUCUAAAAUGCAAGUAGUAUAUGAAGAAACAAAAUUGUAGUGGAGGCUUUGCUUGCUCAAAAUUCACACAAACUUGCCAGUACACAUGACACAAUGUUGUAAUAAUAUACUCAUGUAGCGUGAAAGAUAUAUAUUUCUAUGUAUUUUUUUCACUUUUGGACCAACUUGAAACAUCUAAAUUUAUCGUGGUAUAAAUAAUAAUAUAAUAUACAUGUGAACCAGGAGCAAUGGGAACCAAUAAUAACGAGCAAGUCCAUCUACAAUCCUUGAAGCUGAUGGGCUUAACGCAGGAAAGCGACCUCAAGUUAUGCAGGACAUGCCAUUGUUCCUGCAAGGGCGAUAAAUGUGAUGCAACGAAAUGCUGCUAUCUAGCAAAGUGCACCACGCAACGACCUCUCACUUGUGUGCUAGACUCGAUUCAGUGUGGCAGUUGUGAUAAUUGCAAGUGAUUACUGCAUGUACAUGAUGGAUUGGUGGAUGACAUCAUGACAAUAAAGAUUUCCGAAAAAACCUUUACCUUUUUUGAGUGGACAAACUGAUUUGACUUUCAGCAAUUGAGGGGGGUUAAAUUUUUGUGAGUAGUAGUUAUAUGUAUAUAAGCAAACCAUCAAAACGGUGUCGUCAAUAGUCAACACGCCCAACAAUCGACAAAAAAAACUACUCCCGUGGCAUUAGGUACUCAAGUGCUUGUGUCUGCCAUUAGCUAGACAUAGCAAAAGAGCCCCGCAUUGCAAGAAAAAUAUCACAUUUAGCAUCGACAAUGCUUACUUCUUCUCAUCGUUUAU
rnacentral:lncRNA from 1 species